rnacentral:lncRNA from 1 species
AAGUCUCACAACCACUAAGCGACUUGGAUUUUUCAAGUCUCUAAACGAGAAGUUUUCCUCACUCGGGAAAUUAAGGGAGCACUACCUCAACCUACAUGCUUCACUCACAAAGCUUCAACAUACAAGCUUCAACAAAAGGAAAAAUUCAAAGAACUUAGUGAAGAAGGCCUUGGUGUAUUUAACACAAUACGUUGAAAUGAAACAAAACUUGUUUAUUGAUAUCUCCGAUAAGUAACAAAUAUGUACAUAUACAUGAAUCAAAAUAAACAAACAAGAGGAAGCCUUCACAAAGGUUGCUCAGGAGAAGUCUCAGCAGUCGGCAGAGCCUCAGAAAGAGAAGGCACCAGAGGGUGAUUAUUCGAAGUCUCAGUACUAGGCAGAACUCCAGAAGGAGGAGGCACCGAAGGUUGAUCAUUUGGAGCUUCAUUACGCGGUACAUCCCCGGAAGACGAAGGCAAUAAAUGCCUUUGGAACAAACCCACAAACCUUUGAUGAUCAAGUAAAAUCUUACCAUCAGAUUUCUGCAGCUGGUCGAGCUUCCUCUUUAUGUUUGUAGCAUAGUCAUAUGCGAGCCUGUGCAACUGUUUAUUCUCAUGCUUGAGCCCUCUGAUCUCCUAUUUGAGACUUAUCACUUCAGCCACCAAUGAUUCAACUUGGCGAGUUCGAGCAAAUAGGCGUUGGGCCAUAUUAGACACAGAACCUGCACACUGAACACUGAGAGCCAAAGAAUCCUUAACAGCCAACUCAUCAGACCGUUUGGAAAGUAGUCUGUUAUCUUUGGGAGUGAGAAGGUUCCUGGCCACCACCGCAGUGGUCAUAUCAUUUUUUAUCACAAAGUCCCCAACGGUAAGAGGACCAGUAGGGGAUAAGAAUGAUGAGCGUCAUAUGUUGUCUUGAGAAGGCAUGGCUGCCUCUUUACCAAAGUUCAAGUCAAAACGACGGUCGGAUAGGCCAGACAUUCUCAGAAAUGAUGAAGGAGAAAUGAGGUGCAAUAAAUCUCUGAAGUAAGAGGAAAAUUCCUACAAGCAAUAACUCUCAUAAUGAACUCCUUGCACACAAUUGGUGCCCUUAUAAAAGAAAGGCAAUAGGGCCGUUGGUUUAAAAAUCGAAGAGGUACCACUCUCUGGAUUCUGAAGAGGCACCACUCUCCGGAUUUCGAAGAGGCACCACUUUGCACAUGCAACAUCAGCUCCUCGGGUACCACAGAUAACUUUGCCAAAGAUCUCUGACAAAGUUUAUACACAUAAAUUUUGAAGGUCCAGCUACCCUACUAUUACCCACAAGGGUAAAGGAAUAGCACCACAGCUUGAUAACUAGAAAGUCCCAAUGUGUGUCAACCUCCGUGCUUCGUGGCAAGGCAGACUGGCAAAAAUGCCCAACCUUUACUCACAUUCGAGAAAACACUCCCAACAAGAUUGCUUGCUCAAAAAUCGAAGAGGAACCACUCUUCGAAUCUCAAGAGGCAGACUCCCAACAGGAUUACUUUCUCAAAAAUCGAAGAGGCACCGCUCUCCGAAUCUCAAGAGUCAAACUCCCAACAGGAUUGCUUUCUCAAAAAUCAAAGAUGCACCGUUAUCUGAAUCUCGAGAGCUAGAUCCCCGACAUGAUUGCUUGUCCGAAAAUCGAAGAGGCACCGCUCUCCGAACUUCGAGAGCCAGAUUUCCUUGGAUAAAGCUUGUCUGCAAUCUUCACACGCAACAUCAGCUUUUCAGAUACCACAGACCACUUUUUCAAAGCGCUUUGACAAAGUUAAAACAUGUGAAGCUUGCAGCUCCCACUACAUUGCUAUGACCAAGAAGGGUAAAGGAAUAGCAUUAUUACUUGCUCAAAAAUCGAAAAGGCACCGCCUUCUGAAUCUCGAGAGCCAGACUCCCAACAUGGUUACUUUCUAAAAAAUCAAAGAGGCACCGCUCUCCGAAUCUUAAGAGCCAGACUCCCAACAAGAUUGCUUUCUAAAAAAUCGAAGAGGCACCGCUCUCCGAAUCUCGAGAGCCAGAUCCCCAACAGGAUUGCUUGUUCGAAAACCAAAGAGGCAUUGCUCUCCGAACUUCGAGAGCCAGAUUUCCUUGGAUAAAGCUUGUCUGCAAUCUUCACAUGCAACAUCAGCUUUCUAGAUACCAUAUACCACUUUUUCAAAGUGCUCUGACAAAGUUAAAACACGUGAAGCUUGCAGCUCCCACUACAUUGCUAUGACCAAGAAGGGUAAAGGAAGAGCAUUACUACUUCUUGUUAGGGAGACUCCUAUAUAUGUCGACCUCCAUCCUCCACGGACAGGCAGACCUACAAAAAUGCUUAACCCUUCCUCAUAUCUGAGAGGGCACUCUCAACGAAGCUUUUCGAAAUACUCAGCUUUCUUCCCCCCAAUAACACCUAUGCAAACCAGCCACACCAGAGCAAGAGUAUCUCAUAUCAUCAAGGUCAAAAACAAGAGUAUCCCAAAUCAUUCUUUUUCCUUGUCUUUUCCUUUGCCCUUGUUCUUACCUGUAAGACAAGGAGAAAGAGAGCAAUCAGUUAGCACUUGGAAUCAAGCUUCCAGUCAUGAACUGACUGCCUGGAACCCAUUGCCUGAUUACUUACCUAGCAUUGCUCUCGAGUACUCAUCUUCAACAUCUUAUGCUUCCAGAAAAGAUACCACAUUUGCCUGAGGAACAGAUAGGCCAAGUGAGAAGGAUACAAGGAAGCAUGUGGAGACAAGCGCAACAGAACACAUGCCGAUUCAUCUAUUACUUCGUCAACAGCAAAAGUAUCCCAUAUCAUCAAGGUCGAAUGCACUCUUGAUUUGAUGGACUUGUUCUGACCCUCAAAUUCUUAAGUCGACCUUAUACUCUGGAGGAAACCAGAAAACCCUUCAGCCCAGUUCAAGAAUAAGCUUUUGGAAAGUUACUUCUUCAAAAGAAAAAGUAUCUCAUAUCAUCUCUUCUUCAUUUGCUUCUCCUUAUCCUUAUUGCUGUUUACGACAUAAGGAGAAGGAGAAUAAUCAACCGGAAGCCGAAGUCGAACCUCCGAUCCAGGUUGCUUGCUUGGAAGUCUGAUUGCUUACCUUGUCUGUUACCUCUUUUGGCAAAUCUCCUAGCUCGGCGACUUGGGGGACUCCUACUAUAGUGUUUUGUAUCGCACUUGACCAAGCCCGAAACUACAAGUAAGCUUCAAGUGAAAUUGAUACAUUACCUUGUGCAUCUUCAUCGAUUAAAGAUACCACCACUGGAUGGAGGAAAAGUACUUCCAGAGAAGAUGCCACAUCUACGUAUGAGACACAUAAGGCAAGUGAAAAUGAUACCACACUUCGGUACUUAGAAGUUUCGUGAUUACUCAAUGGCUUGGAUCUUGCAAGUCCCCAACCGAGGAGCUUCCCUCACUCGAGAACUUAGGGGAGCACUGCUUGUACCAUACUUGACCAAUCCUGAAACUACUGAGCACCCGUCAAUGUUAUACCGUCAAGAACCCAGAAGAGUUUCCCUCCAACCAGGAGGCCAAUCACAGCGCGACACGUGUUGACAUCAGAAGCCAAUCAUAGCGCGACACGUGUCAACAUCAGAAGCCAAUCACAACACGACAUGUGUCAAUGUCAGAAUGAAACUAGAAACUCUCUUCUAUAAUUAAAGAUCAUUCUCUCACAAUAUUUCCUAAUGUCAUUUGUACUAAAUCAUUCACUAGUACUCACUAAAGGAGAGCUUGAACUUAUGUACUUGUGUAAACCCUUCACAAUUAAUGAGAACUCCUCUACUCCGUGGACGUAGCCAAUUUGGGUGAACCACGUACAUCUUGUGUUUGCUUCCCUGUCCCUAUCCAUUUACUUACUUAUCCACACUAGUGACCGGAGCAAUCUAGCGAAGGUCACUAACUUAACACUUUCUGUUGUACCAAAGUCCUCGCUGAUUUUGUGCAUCAACAAAUUUAAUUUAAAUUAAAAUCAAACAAUUCCUUUCCGCCAAGUGUUGACAUGUGUCCUCUUAAUGAUUCAUCCAGUUUUGAUAAGCCACAUGCCAUGUGUACGAUUUGUGAGAUACAUGGUACAUGCCACGUAAGUCCUCACAUGUUGAAAUUUAAUGCAUUGGUGAACAUUUAUUUUCACCGAAAUUUGCAUGUUCUACAAAACGGUUAAAAAAAAAAUCAAAUUGUAAAAGCAUUAGGGCUCCGCCUUCACCUUAACAAUCCUAUGCAGUUUUACCAAUUACUUAUGGAUUACACAUGCAAUUUUGAAGGUUAGGUUUUCCUAAAGUAUGAUCUACUUGGACCUCUAACAUAUAUCAAACAUGCAACCUGUCAAGUCGUUUGGAUCGAAUGUGGCAUGAAAGACCCAUUAAGCUUUAUGAAAACUCUUUGAAAAUCUAUGCAACCCUCAAGACAUGGUAUUCAUUCUAAGUGAGAUUACAAUUAUUAACUACAAGAAGCCGUAGCCAUUUUAGGGAAACUUGCAACCAUAAGAAUCACUCAAUUUGUCGUGCUCUUGAUACGGUUAAGUGAUCUUCUCCGCAGCUGCUGGCACAGAAUUAAUCGAUACUUAUUCCCUAGAUACCAUCAUUGCUUCUUCACUGGAAAAGAAGUUCACGACCUGUAGGCCUUUUGCCUCCACGUGGCAUUGCUCUUUCAAGCUUGCACCCAUGGCAAAAAAUUCCCCAUUGCUGCCUCCCGUAAGAGUCUGGGCCAUGUCUCAAUCCCAGUGUGGCUAAUCAUUCUCUUAUACCAGCAACUGAUCAUUACCUUGGUAAGCUAUUACCUCAUAAACUAGCUAAUUAGACACAAGCCCCCCCCCCCCAUGCGCACAUGGGUGGAUUCCUCUUUUUACUCCUUAGCAUACGGGGUAUUAGCAGCCGUUCCAGCCAUUGUUCCCCUCCCAAGGGUAGGUUCUUAUGCGUUACUCACCCGUCCAUCAAACCAUCCAAUGUAAAGACGGUUUUCAAUGUUGGUUAUCUAGUUAAAAUCUUGGUUUAUUUAAUCAUUAAUCAUCAGGGACUCCCAAGCACACAAAUUCUCUAUAAAUAGAUAAAUAGACGUUUGAUCACUUUUUGCUCAAGAGAAAUUCACAUGUCCAACAUUAAAAAUAUAAAUCAAAGUAUCAAAAUUUUAUCAAAAUAAAUACCAAAACAUACUAAGAGUAAAAUAUAUAAUAUAAAAUCGACUUAUCAAUGAAUAUACAGUAGGUGUGCAAAAGAGUGUAUGCAGCAAUAAGUUACAUAUAGUGUGUUUUCGAGAAUUCAUGUUCCCAUCACUAUGUCAAAGUAAAUUUAGGUCAUACAUUUAAGAAACACUUAUUUAACUGAGCUGUCUAGUAACUAAACAAAUAGUACUUUUAUGAGAAACCAUACCGUAAUUAGAUGAUUCUUAUUACUAUUUGUUGUCAUCCAAAGCACUCCCUCAAACUCCCCUAUACAAGUGAACUUUACCAUUAUCUAAACCCUAACUAAACAAAUAGUACUUUUAUGAGAAACCAUACCGUAAUUAGAUGAUUCUUAUUACUAUUUGUCGUCAUCCAAAACACUCCCUCAAACUCCCCUAUACAAGUGAACUUUACCAUUAUCUAUGAGACCCAAACUACAUAGGCACAAUGAAGACAACAAAGAUAUCGUGUCCGUUGGGAUUUCUAAAAUAAAAACACAAUCAUGGAUAUGGAAUUGAUCUUUUGUAAUGCCAAUCUUGAGCGAGAGAGCGUAGGGUAUGAUUAGGGAUUAAAAUCUUAUUCUCAAACUUCAAAUUUGUCAUCGGCGAUGUAUCAUGCCCCAGUCGCAACCAUUUUCCUAUGGCUUCUUGCUCGUACGAAAAUCCAUCAGCCGCUAUAUGUGGAUCCUUCAUUACUUCCUGUAUCCAAAAUAAACAUAUUUGUGUCAUUGUUUACUCUAGUGAACACCAACAAAAGUGGUCUCUACAUAUAGGGGUUGCAAACUCUUGUAAAAUAAAGUAGGUUGGCAGACUUGAACAUAUCAAAGUUUACUAAAACGAUAUGCUUCCACGAAUCUCUCUCUUUGGAAUUGAGAUUAGCAUAGAAUGAAUAUUGCUCGAAUAAGAAAAAAAAAGUAUGUUCAUGCAUUGAGAGGGCCAAGACACCCAAAUACUAAACUAAAAUUUUAGCAUGCUCAUAUAAGUGGGUAAAGUGCAUGUCUUUCUUUAAUAUAUUCUAGUGAAUAAAAUAUUGGGUUUUCUAUAUAUGAGUCUUGAGUUUGAAAUUCUCUUCUUCCUACCUAAUAGUUUUGAAUCCUUCUUUGAUUUAAAAAAAAAAGAAAAAAAAAUAUAAUAGUUUUGAACUCUUCCCCCUUAAAUAGUUUUUUAAAAAAAAAAAGUUGCAAAGCGAGAAUGCUAGGUAGUGAUGCUACAUCUACCACGCAUUUGUAUCAUCCCUCUAAUAGAUGUAGGACCCGCAAAUAGAUGUGGGUCACAUCUCUAUUAGAGAGAUGGUACAAAUGAUGAUACAAAUAUAUGGUAAAAAUAAUAUUUUUUAAUGCUAAAAGUUUUAAUAUAUUAGUUUAACUUUUUGUUAAGUUGUCUCUUUUUUACUAAAUUCAACCUGUAACUGAUGAUACAAAUAUGUGAUAAAAAUAAUAUUUUUUUAAUGCUAAAAGUUUUAAUAUAUUAGUUUAACUUUCCGUUAAGUUGUCUCUCUUUUACUAAAUUCAGCCUAUAACCAUUCAUCCAAUUAAUUUAACUCGUGGGCAAUGUGGGGGAUAGCUAGUCUGUUAGGGAUUGAUUUUCGAGAAUUUCAGCUAAAAUAGUUAAGAAAUUUAGGUCAUCUCACCCACAAGGCUUAAGCAUAGCCUCAUCUAGAAUUAUAUUCUUGCAAAAUAUUAUUUCUAAAUACACAGUAACAGAUCAUACUCAUAUAUCAUCUUCAACCGAAAGAGACUAAACAUAGUCCUCUCAAUAAUUUAUUAGUUUUAAGUUUAUACUUUAAAUUUAUUUGUUCAUUUAACUAUAUUACCGUUGGAUAUUUUCAAAUUUAACCGUUGAAUUUGAAUCAAUUAUUUCAAAUAAGAAGCUCGGGCCAAAAAAGGGCUAAGAGGGGGUACAUUUGGAGCUAUGCUGUUGGAAGCAAUAUUUUAUCAUUUUUAUGCUGAAGUAGCCAAACGGGCUGGAAUAACCAACGUGUUAGAGAUGUUCUUAGCUCAAGAGUAUAGUUCGAAAGGACCCGUUUAAAAUGCAGUUUAUGAUCAACAGGACACGAACACAAAAAAGAUCGAUACUUUUUAGGUCUACCAAAAAUGGUGAGAUAUUAAACUCUAACCUGAAAUAUGGGGCAUAUGAAAACACUUGGGACAUCAUUGGUGACCUCUCCAUGAACAAUUCCCUUAAUAUUCAAGCCAGAUCCUCCUCUUGCUACUAAAACAUCAGCCCUUUUUCUGAUUUCACCAAGCUCCUCCAUUAUUCUCCUUAAAUCCCUAUUGGGUCCAUUGGUAAUGGUUAAACACCUUAACACCAAGCUCACAAGUUCCUCUGCCAAAUCCAAUGGCCAUUGCCCAGCCUUCUUAUCUAAAACUCGAACUAAUCCUUCCUUGUCCAUUAGCAUAUCCUCAUCAACCCAGUUCCUUCCAGUUAGAAGAUUGAGAGUCAAAAUCCCAAAAGCCCUUAUGUCCCAUACAAUGUGGCUUUCGUCGUACAAGGAUUGGUUGAGCCCUAAACCACUGACCUUGACCACGAGAUUGCGGUCGAGGAGAAUGUUCGAUGGGCUGAGGUGACCAUGAACAAUGGGUUUCGGCCGAGCCAUGUGGAGGUAGCAUACUGCGGAGCAAAUCUCCGCUGCAAUGCGGAUGCGGUCGUGCCACCAAAGGUCCCGGGCGAGGUUCUUUAUUUCAUGGGAGGAAACUAAGAUGUCCCGUAAGCUACCAUUGUGCAUGUAUUCGAAGACAGUAGAGUUUGGCUGGGAGCAGUAGCCCAUCAUAGCAAGCACAUGAGGAUGUCUAAUGUCGCUGAUGAGCUUCACCUGCACAUGAAAAUUAACCCUUAUCUUGAACCUAUAUAAUACGUAACGACGUUAAGGCAUACUUGGUCAUGACCAAUUAGAAAUUGAUAAUCAUAAAAUUGCUAGGAUAUUUGACAUUAUAAAAUGUUUGUAUUUUCGAAUUGUAAAUACUAUCAAUCAUGAAGGAUCUUGUUUAGAUAUGUAGUCGACAUACACAAUUUGGCAGUAUAAGCAUAUAUUUAAAAACAUAAGUCUGGCAAGAAAACAUUACUUUAGUAAUUACUGCAACGUGUACAUCCCAUGAAUAUUUCUUUAGCAAUUUAUUAUAGCAGUUACCUUAGCCUGAAAAUCUUCUUGGGACAGUCCAUAAGCUGAGUUAAGAACUUUGAUAGCUACUGUGACAUGAUUGAUACGCCCUUUAUAAACACUGGUCAAAUCAAUUCCUGAUUUCAAUCUAAAACGCUCUGAAAAUUUGUCGGUGGCCAGUUUGAUCUCCUCAUCUGUGUACUCUCUGAGACAGCAGCUCAAUUCACUCAACCCUUCUGUCGUUUCUGUGGCAUCCUUUUGUCUACAAAAUUCAAUCCUUCUUCGAAAAACAUCUCUUUCUCGUCGUAGUACUUCAAUGUCUCUGACCAUGUCUACACGUUUCAUCACUUCAUUCUCCAGCUGGACCUUCGCUUGUGACUUCGCCAUUUUGGAAAUGUGGAGCUUGUGUGAAAGCUCAGAUUGAAGCUCUAUGAGUGACCUUAUCUUGUUCCUGCUUUCUUGGAUGUGCUUAACUUCUGCAUGGAGUUGUUCUUUUUGUGUGUCUAAUUCUUUUUUCAACUCUCUUCUGUUGUCACCCUCUUCUUUAACAUGAACGUCUAACUCUUGAGCCUACGAAAACACUUUCCUUUUUAAACCAUAUAAAGUGGAAAUAAGAAUAAAUCAACAACUUAAGGGAGUAGUUUGAGUACUAUUUCUUUUCUAAUAGUUUGACAUAUUAUGUUGUGAUAUUUUUAAUAAUCAUUCGAUUAAAUGAAAUCAUACCUCAAUAUGUGAUUAUAUAUACGAGUUAUCUGGGGACACAUGCGCUUGACACAUAUUUUGACACUCAAUUUGUAAGGCUCAAUUCGUAAUGUAUUUCAAUGAUCCAAACUGUAAUAUUUAGUACAUCAAUCAGAGAUCAUCCUUGCAAAAAAUUUGACAAAUCUAAAACCUUAAGACAUUCAUUUAUAGUGAAAAAAAUUAAUGAAUACGGUUCUACAAGGAAACACUAAAUUAAUUAGUCUAACGAUCAUACCAUUUCAGAUUUGAAUGAUUUUUAGUGGACACAAGGUAAGGCAUAAGAGAUGGACAGUUGAAUUUUUAAAAUAUAUUACGGAGUGAGUUCUACAAACACGUGUGUCAAAAUGUGUAUCAAAAAUAUAUAUCACCGAAUGGGAAAGUUCAUUUAUGAACUCUCUAUUCGGUUCCAACCAGAAAGUGUCUGACACUAAUGGGGCGAUAGCUCAAGCCAGGGAAUCAAGGUCUCAUCACGAUCCGAACUCAAAUGAGAGACUGAACCACAUGAUUAAGAAUCAUGUAUAAUGGUGAUGUCAUUAUUCUCAAGGUUGCUUCUAUGGAUAACAUAUAGAUAUCCAUUGUCUAGGCCUACUACUCAGCUAUUUAUGAAAUGACUACAGAAGAGGUAUCAUCACUGAUGACCAAGCUGAUUGGCUCUAGUGCAAGUGGGAGAUUGUUGGAAAUGUGCCCUAAAACCAAUCAUGAUGAUACUUUACGAUCAUUUCACAUGUUAAACUAAUCUAGUUUAAUAUCAAGGGCAAAAAUUAUUGUUUGAGCCGUCUCAUAUAAAUGUUAUACGCUUAAACGAUAAGUCCAAGGAAUAUGUGAUUGGGAGAAUGCGAUCUAAAGAAGUUAGAUUCAUGAGACCAUUCUUUCGUAGACACAUCCUAAACGUUCCUGAUCAUAGGAUUGCCAAUUGGGCAUUGACAGUCCGUUAAGAUCAGUACGUGCUGUGUCUUCUCUCAGGUAGAGUGACUAGUCUCGAGUCAUUGGUGUGUGUGACAUCAAGACAAGUACAUAGGUGCUCAAUAGAGAAUGAGUUCACUGAACACGAUCAACGAAGAGUUCUCAUACUCAUGUCACAUGAGAACUCAUGGUUGGAAUAAUGCAAAGUAGUCCUUUGACCUGAGGCAUCAUAGUUGUCUUGUGGUUAGGUCCUUGAUCUUUGAUUAUGUCAAAGUCACCCAAUCUGCGGGUGUCCACGGCAUCGUCGGGGUUAAGCCACUUAGCCAUGGAGGCAAGUGAAUGCGCAACAAGGGGUCUCUAACCUUCAAACCGUUUGGGGGAGAAUACUCUAUGAUAUGAUUAAGAAUCUCUGGGCAGAGUAUGAAUGAGAUUUAGGAAGUCGUUCCAAAUCACAUUCAAGGUAAUCAUAUAGCACACGAAUCACAUUGGAUAGUAGACAUGAAUAAACUAUCAAACCAAACAAUGUGGUCAAGAGUAUUGUAUUAGAGAAAGACCGUAUUGCAUUUGUAAUCCUAAACUGAAUAGGUUCUCCACCUCUUCUGAUUAGCUUGGGUAACCAUGAUAUACUGCUAGGUGUCACUCAUGGUUUGUGGAAGCCCUAAACGUGUAUAAUCACUAAAGGGAGAAUUGAAAGUAAGUUUCAAUUCACAAUCGAUUUGAAAUGGUUUUAAUCGCCCACUACCUCGCUAAAAAGAACCUAAUGGAUCGUACACCGUGUAAGGUGGAGAUUGAAGAAACAAUGGAGAUGAGUAAGAAUAAUUAAAUGGUUUAAUUAUUUAUGGUAAGGAUUAAUUAAUAUGUUAAUUAAUCAAACGAAUAAGUUCGUUAAAGACCUCGGGAUAGUUUUGGACCUUAAGGCCCAAUGGGCUUCGAACGUCAAGCCCAUUGACUUAAGUUGUAUGACAACUUAAUGAAUAAUGAUUCACAAAGGCCUAAUUAGCCCAAUAAUACCCUAAGGCCGGCCAUUUAGAGAUGGAGUGAGUUUUGGACUUAUUUACAAGUUUGCCAGUCCAAUGAAUUAAGGUAUAAAUAUGACUUUAUAGCCAAAAUUUAUUUAGGGUUUUCCUUUGGGGAAAGGAUGAGAACAUAAGCUCUCCUUUCUCUCUAAAGUGGCCGGCCUCCUUGGAGGGUUUAGCUAGCAAUCCUACUACUCCAAGGUCACUCAUUUCUUCUCCAAUCUAACCUUGGUGAAGAGACUUAGAGGUUCUCAAUUUUGGGAAAUUGGAGAACCAUUUCAUCCAUCCAAAUCCAUAGAUCUAAGAUGCAAGGAAUGAAGGCCCUCUCUUUGGGUGAUUAGCCUUUGCUUAUGCAAAGAGGAAUCUACAAAGGUAUAAUUUCUCAACUACCAAAUGUUGUUUUAAGUUGAGUCAAGGUUCACCAAUCUACUAGGCUUUGAAUUUCAUGGUUAAUGUUUUGUUUUUGAGUGCAUGCAAGCAUGAUUCCACCUUUUAAUUAUUAAUUGCAUGCUAUAGAUGUUGCUCAAAUGAACAUGUUUUUCACAAUAUUUCCUUCACCAGUAGAUGAAGGUAGAUAUCAGAGAUUGGUAGAAAGACUAAUUUAUUUAGCUCACACUUCCGGAUAUAGCCUAUGCAGUGAGUAUAGUAAGUCAAUUUAUGCACUCGCCGAGUGUGGAUCAUAUGGCGGCUGUUAUGCAGAUUUUUUAAAAAUCUGCCCUAGGCAAGGGAAUUUUGUAUAAAAAUUUCGAUCAUUUAAGAAUUGAGGGGUUUACUGAUGCUGAUUGGGCAAGUGAUGUAACUGAUAAGCUUUCUACUUCUGGAUACUUUACGUUCGUUGGAGGGGAAUGUAGUUACUUGGAAGAGUAAGAAACAAAAGGUGGUGUCUAGGUCUUCUGUGAAGGCCGAAUUUAGAGGCACGGCACAUGGAGUGUGUUAAGUUCUUUGGUUACGUAAGUUGCUUUAGGGUCUUGGUUUCAAACAAAAUGAGGCAACAAAUUUGUACUGUGACAAUAAGUUGGUGCGAGAGAUUGCAAAGAACCCGGUACAGCAUGACAGAACAAAGCAUGUGAAGGUUGAUCGACACUUCAUUAAGGAAAAGCUUGAGAAGAAGAUUGUCAAUAUCGUUUGUGAACUCGGAAGAGCAACUUGCAGAUAAUCUCACUCAUGCUGUGUGUAGUAGGCUUUUUAGUGACUCACUUAUCAAGUUGGGCAUGUAUGACAUCUAUGCUCCAACUUAAGGGGGAGUAUUGGCGUGAGUAAUCUUUAGGAAAAUAGGAAUGUAAAUAUUAGAGUCCUUUAGUAGGAAGGAUAUCUCUUUGUGUUUUUUUUUGUUUUCCUUAAAGAACAAGAACUGUAUGUACUUAUAAACCAAAUUAUACAAUACAUGAAAUUUAAGUCGUAAAUUUUUAUUACAACAUCUCCAUAGGAGAUGUCAAAACUACUACGUAGACAUACAACAGUGAAAAAAUGGCAGUAAACUCUCUCCAACCAAGCCUUCAAUUUCUUACGUGGCGCUGGGUCAAUUGAAGGUAAAGCCUUUUACUGUCAAAUUUGACAGCAAAUGUCAAAUUUAUUAAAUAAUUUUUUAAUAGGUUAAUAUUAUAUAAUAAAUAUUGUUGUGUUUUUCAUGUAAUUGAUUGGUUGCUUCAAUUAUUGUACCCCACAAAAAGAUAAAAUAAAUUAUUAAAUGACAUUAUUAUUUAACAUAUCAGGUGGAAUAAAAUAUUGUACAAAAUGUCAAAUAUUAUACACCUCUUUUAGAGAUGCUCUUAGUCGUCCAUUUAUGGAUAAUGCUUGCAAUUCCCCCUUAGGGAGUCGUGCUCUUGCAAAACAUAUCUUCACCUUAAAAAUGUCAUAAUCGGAACUGCUCAAUAUCUUAUCUUCAUUUGAAGAUGAUCCCUACAAAAAAUCAUUCAAAGUAGAUAUCAUUCAGUCAUUCAAAUGUAUCAGAUAAAUCAAUAGUAUAAAUAGAAAGUCAUGAUGAACCGCGAUUUUAUUCCAUAUAUUUAGAUGACUAAUGCACGAUUCGAAUAAUUUUUUGUAGGAAUGAAAUUCAAAUAAAGACUAGAAGAUUGAAUGGUUCCGAUUGUAAAAAUUUGCAGUGAAGAUACGUUAUACGUUAGUGGGAGAAUAAGCUCGUUCCCUAGAGGGGAAUGUAAGCAUUAUCCUUAGAAUAAUGAAAUAAGAUGUUAACAAGUUUUUUUAUUUCUAAUUUAGAACCGUAAGUGCAUUGGUAAAUUUUUUUAACAAACUAAGUUAUAAGAGAAAUGCUAAGGGGACUCUCUCAAAGUGGGACUCUUCAUGGAUUGGACGACUAAACCUUAAACUUUUGCCAAAAAAAAAUGAGGUGCCAAAAAAGUCCAUGGAGAGUCCUACUUUUUAGAGAGUGUAUCCUUAGCAUUUCCCAAGUUACAAAACUCUUGCGUUGUCAAAAAAUUAUUACUUUGAUUUUAUUUGAAAACUUAAAAAGUUGCCCAAAAAGAACAGAAAACAUAAUAGUUAACAUACGCACCAUAAUUAAUAAACAAAUUUAUCUAGUUUCAUAUUAUUAUUCCUAGGAUAGUACUUGCAACCCAUCCAUGCGAAAAUGUACAUAUCACAUGCCUUCCGAAUAACAUUAUUUGCCGUACAAAUUUCAUAAUCGAAACAAUUUAAUUUUCAUCAUUUAAAAGAUCAUUCUAAGACCAUCCCCAAUAGUUGGGAUAAAAGCCAAAUUUUUUAGCCCGGAAAAUUUAGCUUUUAGCCUAGAAACAGCUUUUCUACUCCAACUCUUCUGUCCUAAAAUUUUAGCCCGAGAUUAUUAAAGAAUUAACUUAGGCUAUUUUUUUUCUUAAAGUAAUUUAAAAAAAAUAUAUGUAGACUAUCGUAAAUUAAUUUUAUGAACAUUUUAAUCUAAAAAUAUUUAAAUUCUGAUAAAUAUUGAAAAAUCACUAAAUUUUCCACAAAUCAAGCCUUCAACUUUCACCAAUCUUUCAACCCUUGGCUAACCUUCAAUUUACCAACCGUUCCACACCAAACUUUCAAGGUUCACCAACCGUUCAACUUUCAUCAAUCAUCCUCUAUAUAAACAUAUGUCCAAUAUUAGUUGAUCACACAAUAGUAUCUAUAUUCAAUCAUCCUCUAUAUUCACCAAUAUUUCAAAUUUCAAAGAGUUUUUAUUUCCUAAAAAUCCUCAAUAUCUCAUCAAUGGGUGAUAGAAGAAGGCAUAGCAUGGCAAUGCAAAUGGCACAAUAUCAAGCAAGGAUUGAGAUUAAAGAUGCAGAAUUGUUCAACGCCAAAGAUGAACUUGUAAACUCGUUUAUGAAAUUUGAACACCAUGGCGAAUCUAGCCAUCGCGGUUCUAUCACGGGGAGUUCAUAUGUGCAGCGUGAUAAAGAAGAAUGUCAUGACCGAAUGAUGAAAGAUUAUUUCAUCGAGCGUCCAAGAUUUCUUGCUCAUGAUUUUCAGAGGCGGUUUCGGAUGAGGAGAGAGCUUUUCGAAAGCAUCUUGAACGCAAUUGUCAAUCAUGGCCACUACUUUGCAAGGAAGAUAGAUGUCAUAGGCCGACAAGGUCUAUCGCCUCAUCAGAAGCUUACAUCUGCUUUUCGCAUGCCAGCUAAUGGGUGCUCUACAGACUCAACUGAUGAGUAUUGCCGACUUGCGGAGAGUUAUGUUAUUGAGAACCUAAAGUGCUUCUAUAAGGCAAUUGAAGCCAUAUAUGGAGCCAUAUACCUCCGCAAGCCAAAUCGUGAAGACUUGAAGAGGCUUCUACGCAAGGCAAACAAAAUAGGCUUCCCUGGCAUGAUAGGAAUUCUCUAUUGUAUGCAUUAGGAGUAAUAGAAUUGUCCUACUACUUAGGCUGGCCAAUUCAAGGGCCGUCAUAACAAACCAACCAUCGUGCUCGAAACUGUGGCGUCUUACGACACAUGGAUUUGGCAUGCUUUUUUUAGUUUCCUGGAUCAAACAACGAUAUCAACAUUCUUUGGUCUUCUUCUCUAUUUGAUAAUGUUGUCAAUGGAUGGGCACCAGAAUUUCGGUACAAGGUAAAUGGUAAUAGGUAUGAGCUAGGUUACUACCUAACUAAUGGUAUUUAUCCUAGUUGGUCUACCUUUGUCAAAAGUUUUUCUCAUCCCGAUAGUGAAAAGAAGAAAUUAUUUUCGCAUAGGCAAGAGUCUUAUAGGAAGGAUGUGAAGAGAGCAUUCGGGAUCCUACAAGCUCGAUGGGCCAUUGUUAGAGGGCCUGCACGAUUAUGGCAGACCGAAGACCUCCAUUCAAUCAUGAUGACGUGCAUAAUUUUGCACAAUAUGAUUUUAGAAGAUGAGUACAUUGAAAUUGAAGAAGAUUCAAAUGAAGAUGUGGAUGAUGACCAACCAACACAUGCGAGAGCUAUUGCAAGAGAUGUUGAAUAUCUCGCUCCAACCACAUGAGACCCGACAGGAUAGGGUCACCUUAAGUAAGUAUAUGAGACGUUUAAAUAGAAUUCAAGCUCCUCAAUGUCAUGACACACUCCACAAGGAUUUGGUUGAGCAUGUAUGGUGCCGAGAAGGUGAACGUUGAUGAUGUUGGUUAAGCAUUUAUGUAAUAAUUUUAAGUGUACUAUGUUGUUAUUUUCUAGUAAUAAAUUUAAGUGUCUUCUUGUGCAAAGUAUUUUGUCUACUACGUUGGAUAAAUUAUUGAAUGGAGGUUGAAUUAUUGAAGGCAUUUAUUCUACAUCAAAGUGUGGAAUAAUAAGUACAAUAAUUAUUGAAGGCAUCUAGAUUAAUAGAAACAAUAAUUAAUAAACCACAUAAACUUAAUACAACCGAUAAUUCAUAAACCACAUAAUUAAUAAACUACGUAAACUUAAUACAAACGGCAAUUAAUAAACUUAAUUAAUAAAGCACAUAAUUCAUACACUACAUAAACUUAAUAAUCAUAUCCACCAUCUUCACUUGGUGAUGGACUUCGUACAGGACUUGGGAUAUAGGGUUCAGAGGAUUCAUCAUCUUGAAACAUACUCCUUAAGGCAGACUUUCGCAAAAUUUCUUUGCUUACCAUGUAAGAACUUCUUCCUCUCUUGAGUGUAUUUGCUAAGGUCCUCCAUCAUCAAAUUAAUUUCAAACCUUUAUUGCUCCUUAUCCGAGAUUUCCUUCAUUUGCAAACACAUUCGGGCCGUUUCUUCUUGGCGAGCACUAUGUUCGUUUAAUUUUGCAAUUCCGGUAGCAAAGUGUCCACUCAUUAGAUCUUGGGACUUCCUUUUUCUCUUUGCUUCAUUUUGCUUAUCUCUUCCCGAGAGCCUUGCAAAAGAAGGAGAUGGGGUCAUUUCAUUGACAUCUUCAUCUCCGGCAUUUGUAUGUGCGGCUUACGUGGAAAUAAUCUUCACCAUUGUUGGUCUGCAUCGGUUCCCCACCUCAGACAAUCCUUGAGGACGUCCCAAGCAUGUUGCAACUUAAAAACUUGCUUUUUUGGUGUUACUCUUGUCUUGUAAAUUUCCAUUUCUUUGUCACCCUAUGCAAAAAAUACAUAAAAAUAAUUAGUUGCAAAAUAAUAUUAUGUAAAUGACAAAUAAAAUAUCAAGAACAAAACUCACAAUUUUUGUGGCGCUUCUUCCACUAGCCAUGCCAACCACGGCUCUCUCCAAGCUUCCCUUCCAUAAAGUGCAUGCUUUGUUGAUAGUCUUCCACCGAUCAUAAACACCACCACCGUCCCGCCCGCCGCCAUUGCAACUUUGCAAUGAUUUUAUCCCAUAAAACCUUCUUAUUUUGAUUUGUGCCAAUUGCACCGUCUUUGCUAACAGAAACCCAUGCUAAGCAUAAAGCACCAUCUUCCUCACAGGUCCAAUUACGACCUCUAAAAUGCUCUCUUGUCAUGUUGAACAAUUUGGAAAUGGAAAGAUAAAUUGGAAGAAUUGUAGGAGAAAUUUGAGUUUUGUGUGGAUGUUUGAACAAAUGCAUAGGUAUUUAUAGAGUUUUUGAGUUAAAUGAUUUUUUUUAAUUAUUUUAGCUGUUGGAUUUAAAUUUGGGCCGUUAGAUCUUUUUUUUACCAUUAAAUUUGAUUAUAUUCGAUCUCAACCGUUAGAUUCAAUGUAUUUAAAAAUAACAUAUUUUAAAAAAAAAAUUGAAUCUAAACCGUUGGAUCAACCAACGGUCCAAAAAGCCCAAUCGUUGGAUGUUAAAUAUAGCCGUUGGGUUGAAUUUGGUGGCCGACACACGGGCUGACAAGGGGCCCACCCUAUCGAGAAACACUUGCAAGCCCACCACGUGUGGGCCGUUGGCGUGUAGGUGGGCCGAGACUGGCCCAAGUUCCAGCAAGUCCACGCGCAUGGGGGGGAUUUGGCCCAACUUUGGCAUUUGGCUUUUAGCCCAAUGUUUUAGCUUGGGUUGGGUUGAGUUUGAGGGGAAAUUUUGGGGGGGGUAAUUUGGCUUUUAGCCCACCAUUGGAGUUGGUCUAACAAAAAAUUAUUUGAAAUGGAGAUUAUUUAAUAUUUUAAAUAUAUAAAAUAAUUGAACAGUUCAUCAUGAAUACGUUCUUUAGUGCUCAAACAGUCGAUUUGUUUCAUCUAUUUGAAUGAUUAACGGAUCUCCGAUUCGAAUAUUUUUUGCAAAGAUAAUUUUGAAAUAAAUAGUUUCGAUUAUAUAGUAAAAAGAUUUUAUUCAAAAAAUAUGGAAGAGGUGCAAUCUCUUAUUGGUGGAAAGCAAGUAUAACCUUCGUUACUAUCUAGUUCUUUAUAUCGUAUGUCAAAUGAGACCUUAAGAGCAACUCCACCCUUGGAGCCCUCCCCCCAGGCAAUCCACCAUUCAAUCCACCAUGUGAACAGUAACUACCCUAAUAAACAGUAACUGCCUUUUGCAUCUCCACCGUUGCACUUGAAUAGCCCUGACAAUAGGCAAUAAAAUAUUAUUAAUUUUUUUUUUUACAAAAUAAUACUAAAUAAAUUUAUUUGUAAUUUCGAAUAAGAUAUUUUAAAUCGUUCUCGUUGCGCCACGUGUCAUUUACCCAAAACGACUAUUAUUGGUCAUAGAUUUCGACAAGAUUUUUAUCCAAUGUCAUCAUGCCACGUGUCGUUAUCUUUUCAGAAUCUUUGAAGAUAGAUUUCGAUCAAAUUUUAAAUCGUUCUCGUUACACCACGUGUCAUUAUCUGAAAAGAUAAUUAUUGGUGAUGGAUUUUGAUAAGAUUUUUAUCCAAUGUUGUCGUGCCACGUAUCGUUUUCUUUUCAGAAUUUUUAGGAUAGAUUUCAAUCAGAUUUUUAACGAAUGAUGGCAUGCAACGUGGCACUAUCUACAACCUAAUCAUUUCAUAAUCCUCCAUAUAAUCCAUCAUUCAUCCUUUUAAAUCUCACACCAAUUUUCUCAAUAUCUCUAUCAUUAUUCAUAGUUUCUGCUUCCUUCUUCACCAAAUCAAAAUCUGUAUCAUUAUUCAUAGUUUCUACUUACAAUGUCUUCUUCUUCAAGCAUGAUGUGGGAAAUCGAUCAAGAAGAGGAAGACUUGUUUAACCAAUCUGAAGGAAUGUUCAAUCUCCAUAUAGCCCAAAACGAAGAAGGAGAGAUGACGAAGCAAGAAUGGCCAGAGACUCACAUUCUUGUCGAGUCAUCCAAGUUAUGGCUCAAAUAUGCAGGCCCACCCAUUCCAGAAACCUUGAUAGAAGCAGGCAACAACGAGAUGUGGAGCUGUUGGACGAUUAUUUUGUCCAUAAUAGUGCAUUUCCUGAUACAUACUUCAAAUGUCAUUUUAGAAUGGAACGACAUUUGUUCAACAAAAUCAUGAUUGCUGUUUGCAACCAUGAUUCUUACUUUGUGCAAACGAAUGAUGCUGGUUGUGCUAUGGGUCUCCUUCCUGAGCAAAAAAUUACUGCUGCGCUGCAGAUGCUUGCGUAUGGAGUAUUUGCAGACCAAGUGGAUGAGAUAGCGAGGAUGGGGAAAUCAACCAUUCUUGAGUCCCUGAUGAGGUUUUGCGGAGCAAUCGAAUCUAUCUACACCGCAGAGUACCUCCAGAAGCCUACUCACAUGGACUUGGAAAGACUUCUGAAGAAGGCCAAGAUGCGAGGUUUUUCUGGGAUGAUUGGGAGCAUUGAUUGUAUGCAUUGGACAUGGAAAAACUGUCCAAGUGCAUGGCAAGGCACUUAUGGAGACAGAAAAUGAGCAAAAAGUAUCAUUUUGGAGGCGGUGGCAUCUUUUGAUACAUAAAUUUGGCACGCCUUUUUUGGGGUUCCGAGAGCUCAAAAUGACCUCAACAUCCUUGCCCAAUCCCCAAUGUUCGAUGAUGUCCUACAAGGAAAGGCACCAAAAGUCGCGUAUAAGGUCAACGGACGUAUGUACGACGGGCCAUACUACCUAGCUGACGGUAUUUACCCAAGGUGGUCAACAUUUGUCAAAACAGUGCCACGUCCGCGAAGUGCAAAGGAAAAACACUUUGCAAGCUGUCAAGAGGGGUGCAGGAAGGAUGUGGAGUGUUGUUUCCUUAUCAUCCAAGCUCGCUGGGCGAUCGUCAGGGGUGCUACCAGAUUGUUUGAUGUAGAGUCGCUUCGAUCCAUCAUGAUGACGUGCAUCAUUCUUCACAACAUGAUUGUGAAAGAUGAGUACGAUUAUGAAGCCGUUGAUGAAUAUGAGCCAGACACGAUAAACAAUUCAAGAACAUGUAUAUAUUAUGCUCAUGACGCCACCGAUAAGCCCGUGCAACAUGAGCCAUUAAAAAGGGAUGGACGUUACAAUGAAAGGGUCAUUCAACGAUAUACUGCAUUUCAAUGGCCAGACAUGCACAAUGCCCGGCAAAAUGACUUAAUAGAGCACCAUUGGGCAUUGAAACAAGCUGAAGAUAAUUAAGUUCAUUUAGUGUGUUUUUUAUUAUUUGGUAUGUUUAUAUAAUUUUAUUUGGUGUGUUUUAUUUUAGUUCAUUUAGUGAGGUUUUUAUUAUUUGGUGUGUUUAUGUAAUUUUAUUUGGUGCAUUUUAUUUUAGUUCAUUUCGUGAGUUUUUUUAUUUGGUGUGUUUAUGUCAUUUGAAUAAAGAUUCUCUUAUAGUAUAAAUAUAUUACCAUAUUAAAUAAAUUUACUCUCACUUUAAAUAAAGUACUAAAUUCAAUAAAUUGGAAACAACAUAAAAUACUCAAUUCAAUAAAUAAUAAAGGGAAAUUUUAUUUGAACCCAUCUAACCUCUUACUACACCCAACUUAAAUUCUAAAACAAGAUGAAAUUAAGAAUAAAACUAAAAUCUAUCCAUAAACCCAUACUCAAUAAUCAAGUUCUACCAUCACACAAUAUUUAUCCUACAUUCAUUCUGACUAAAUUCCUAAGAGCUGCCACAAAGCCCUACGAUCACCUAAUAAUAAAAUCUGGUUGCUUUUUGUUUCCUCUCUAGCUUCAUGUUAACUCGAUUGGCAAGAGCAAUAAUUACAAACAAUAUCAUCAUAAGAAACAAAAGAGUCAGAAAGCUUUCAACACAUCGAAAUGUUUUCCAUGUCAUUACGAGUGCAUGUCUAAAGUGUGAGUUCUCUUCUCGUUAUUUGUUCAAUUCUACUUCCAAUUCAACUAUAUAUGCCUAUAAAAGCAGCAUAUAUCGCUCAAAUGAAAAUUACUGCCAUGAUCCUUCAAGAAAACGUGAUGAGAAGUUUUACUGAAAUUUACUUUCACUAAGGUGUCCACACAAUUUUACAUGAUUCAAAUUCUAAAAGUACUAGUUCAUCUGCUUGCCUAGCAACUACUAAACUGUUUAAUCUUGAAUUGCAAAUUCAUCACUUAGUUCCACGAAUCACAUUCAAGCUAGCUACUUGGACUAUAUUAAGAGGUUGGCGAAGAUCAUUUCCUAACAAUCUUGCACUCCAAACCGACGUCACAAAAGUUUAAAAAACAAAUUGUUGUUGUUGAUCAAUUCAUCUAUAACAAUUGGUUGUCAUGACAAAAUCUUAAUUCUUCAUUCACUCAUUUAGGAUUUAUUUUCUAAAUGGGUGUAAUGAUGAAUUUUUCUAUAUUGAAUUGAGUUUGUAAGGGUAGUUUAGAUAGUAAAUUUGGGUUUAAAGAGAGAUUGAUUCUUUAAUUAAAAAUAAUUUGGGUGUAAAGAGUAAGUUGGGUUUGGAAAGAGGUUGUAUGGGUUCAAAUAAAAUUUCCCAAUAAUAAAUUACAACCCAAGGUGAUUGGAAAACUAUGGGCUCUGAUUACAAAAAGUACUCUAUUCAUCAUCACUUAACCAAUUUGUGGUGCUAGGAUGAUCUUUUCUUGUCGUGCUAGGACCAUCUCCUCUUGCUCUCGCUUCUUUUGCACGCCUCCUACGCACCACAUCCUCUUUCUCCGACUUCCAAAAAUAUUUAGAAUUUGAAGACUUCCCUUCUAAAGGCGUGUUCAUAAUCUCACAAUCUCGUUGAGCCAUUCUUUCUUCUCUAACCAGUUCCCUUUCUUGCCUAAGUAGCUCUCUUUCUCUCUCAUUAGCUUGAAAUUCUCUCUCAACAGCUGCAGCUUUUACCUCCUCUCUAGCUUUAUCAGCCUCAAAUUUCGCCAUUUCCCGUGCCAAAGUCAAUUCACUAUGGCGAGUAAGUUCUUCCAUGUACUUUGCAUAAUCAUGCUUGGAAGCACUUCCUUUUCUCUUUGAAGCAUUCUUAACUUGAGGCCUAAUUGGAUAACGAGUCGAACCUGAUGCUUGUUCAGGGAUGGGCGUUUCGGGCACUUUUUCUGCAUCAUCUUCAUGCGAGCCAUUAUCAGGUGUAGAGUGUAGAGGGGUGUUGUUCAUGACAACUUCUGGACCGACAGGCACAACUCUGAAUUUAGGACAAUCUUUGAAAAUAUUUCAACAUUCCCACCGAUUGAAUGAUUUAUUUUUUGUUUUGGUUUUGGCAUCAUACCAAGCUUGUGCUUGAAUUAGCUACACAAUGGGGGAGAAGAAAUCAUUAUAAUCAAAGUAGGUAACAAAUAAAUAAUACAAACAAAUAAUUAUAAUCAAAGUAGGUAACAAAUAAAUAAUACAAACAAAAAAUUAUAAUCAAAGUAGGUAACAAAUAAAUAAUACAAACAAAUAAUUAUAAUUAAAGUAGGUAACAAAUAAAUAAUACAAACAAAUAAUUACAAUGUAAAUUUGGAUAUAGUACAAACAAAUAAAUAAUAUAUUGUGACUUGAUCCGUGUAAUUUUCCCCACUUCGAAGAUUACUACUAGCUUGUGCCAAGGCGUCUCUCCAAAUAGUAAAUGAUUGGCUAAGUAAUUUCCAAUGACUAGACAUCGAUUCUUUGGUUCUGCUCCCACCCAUUUUCUCAAGAUAAUUGGUAUGAAUAAGACUCCACAUUUCUCGCAACUGCAUCUCAUUACUCGUACACAAACUAUGAGUAACUUCAACCCAGCUAGUACACAAUGCAACAUCUUCAAGAGACGUCCAACUCGUACCUGCAUCAGUAGUCAUUUUGUUGAAAAAAAUUGGAUUGAAACUUCGAGAGAAAGAUAGGAAUGUGAUUGAAAGUAGUUGAGAACAUAUGAAAUUUUGGUGUAAGGUAGAUGAUAAUGAGAAGGUAUUUAUAAAAAAGCAGAAACUUUUUUUUAAAAAAAAUUCAGAAAUUUUUUUCGGAUUUUUACAAUUUUUAAUUUUUUUUAUUCAAAUAAUUAAUCUUUACUGUUGGAUUUAAAAAAAAUUAAAUUUCAACACUCCUGAUUGUGCCACGUGUCACAACGAUAACUUUUCUUAAUUUUAAAACUAUUUUUCUUUUUUUUUUUAAUUUAUAAAGCAGAUUAAUAUCAACCGUCAACGGUUGAUAUUAAAUCAGUUUUUUUUAUUACCGUUUCAAAUCGGACAGCUCAUAUUAAAGAGCCGUUGAGAUCGAACAGAUCGUGGGAAGCCACGUGGCUUCCCAACGAUCACCUGCUGAAACUGGUGUGCGGGCCCCGUGCCCUGUAAAGUUGUUGGCUGACGCGCCCCCACUCGCGAGUGAGGGGCACGCGCCUGACACAAAAAAUAAAUAAAAAAAUAAAAAGACUGAUGCCAGGCCUGGCGUCAACCUGACAUCACACCCACCUCGGGCUGCAGGGCUGGCAAUCCUCCAUGAGCCUGGCCCUCGAGCUCCCACCUUCACUCGGACUGCCCAACGCUGGAGCCCUAUCCACCGGCGCUUGGGCCCUUUCCCUUCGCCUGUCCCCCGAGCAACCACCAAGGAUGGAGUUGCUCUAAUAGUAUCCUAUUUCGUAUAAAAUGACUGAAUGAGAAAAUGAUGAGGACAUUGACCCACUUUUUACCAGGCCAAUGAACUUUGAUGAAGUCAAUUUCGCUAGCCUUUGGAUAGGAAAGGCUGCUGCUACCGUAGGCCAUUGAUAUUUCUGUCGAUCUUCUACUGGUCAUGGGCUUUGGACAAGUCUAAUCAUCACCCAAAUUUUGGAGCAGUCCAUACCCAAUCCUAAUACAUGUUAUAAAAGCACUUCUAGGCUUGGCUAUUAUAUAUGCCUUGCCAACUGCCUAGCCUGCCAUCCUAUAAAUUCUGUUGGAAUCGGAUAGCAUCUCUGGCAGUUUAUCUAAAUGAAACUAUUUGGUUAUUUUAAUAAAAAAAAUGUAUAAAAAUCAAAGCUCUAACAGAGAGUAAUUAAAUUUUUGCUAAACAUUAAAAUGAUAAAAUCGCGUCGCUCUGGACUUAAACUGGAGAACAAGGACUUGGGUUGUUAAGUUUAGGACCAAACAAUAUUAAACUAUUUUAACUUUAAGCAAAGAUGUUAGUAUUGUUGGAAUUGAUGGCGAGCCAAAGUAGCAUUUGAAUCAAUUGUUUAGCUAUAAUAAAAAUAAAUAAAUAAAUAGCUAGUAUUGUUAGAGAUGUUCCUAGGGUUGAAUUCGGUUUCUUUCAGUUCUGUAUUUUUGCCAAAAUCGAAAACCAAACUGAAAAUACUGUUUGGUUUGAUUCAGUUCGAUUUUUUUUUCCGGUUUGCUUUUUAUUUCGAUUAGGUCAAGAGUCCCAAGGGGAAAGGAUUUCUCGACCGGUGGCGAAGGGUCAAUGGAAAGGAGGUGGACGGGGAUGAGGGGUUAACGGGUCGACUAGGAGAGGUGGGUCAAGGAGAGGUGCAAUUGACGGGUUGACGAGGAGGCAUGUUCACUCUCGUCCCCAUCCUCUCUACCGUUGUCUUCUUUCCCAAAUGGAUGGAAAGCUGCAAUUUUCCCCAAAUUAAAAUAGAACCCAUAUACAAAAUAUGAAAUUGAACCCUUAAACCCAAGUGAAAUAGCAUGAAUAAUUAGAAAGAUUGGAAAUUGGAAGGGAGAGGAAUCGUAAGAGAAAAUGAGAGAGAGAGAGAGAGAUAUAUAAAGAGAGAGAAGUUGCAAGAGAGAAAAUGGGAGAGAAAGGAAGAGAGCCAAGAUGCGGCAACUGUAGGUGAUAUGUGUUACAUCCUAUCCUAAAAUUUAUUAUAUUUUAUCAUCGGAUUGUAAAAUUACAAAAAUUCCCCUAACGGAUUAACUAAAAAUCUUACGUGGACAUCUGAGUUCUUUUCACUUUUAAUCAUUUUCUCGUCUUAUUUACAUAUUGCUUGUUCUUACGAACAUGUGAGCGCGAACAAAUUAUAAAUCGGACAUAAAGCGAAUGUUUUACGCACAUUUCACGUAGAGGGGCAAAAUGAUAUGCACCCUGGAGACCAUGGUACGGUUGGUUUACUUGUUGGCCUUGUUAAACAAGUGGGCUAGACUAGCCCAUUUACCAGAGAGGUGUCAGGUAGCAACACAACCAACAUGCAGGCUAACCGAGGCAACCAGGGCCAAGGGAAUCAGAAUUGAGGAAGCAGAGGAACAAGCAGUGCGGGAGGACAACAAAUUCAUGAUUGUGUCCACAAUAUCAACCACCAAGAUGCUCAGAACAUUUCUGACUUGACCAUUGGUACGUUAAAUACCUUGGUCCUUUGCUGGAGUUUUCAUUGAUCCAGGUGCCACCCACUCUGUCAUAUUAUCUUUGUUUGCUCAAAUGCUCAACUACAAGGUACGCUUAUCAGGUACGAUAUGGGAACUGCAAUGCCACGAGGCAAAAUCCGUUACGUCCAAUGGCAAUACAGAGGAUGCCCCGUUCUCAUUGCCAAUCAAAUGGUGCCAAUCUCAUUCUGUUGGAUAUUGUGGACUUCGACGUGAUCUUAGGGAUGGAUUGCAUCAAAAUCAUGCCUUGGUAGACUGCCGACAAAGAGUGGUCACUUUCUGACGGCCAGACAUGAUGUAGUCACAUAGGCGAACAUAGGAAACUGAAGCACCAAUUAAUCUCCGUUAAAAAGGCAAAACAAAUGCUGAGAAAAGGUUGUGAAAGCUUCUUAGCUCAUGUCGUAGUGGAAGAAGGCAAUCCGGUAUGACUUGAAGAUGUGCACAUAUUCAACUCAACGUUUUUCCGAAGAUUUACCUAUGAUACCCCCAAUCGAGGGGUGGAAUUCACCAUCGACCUCCUUCUUGGUAUCUCUCUUGCACGAAUUAAUUGCCUUUUGUCUGUCAUAGCAUUUUGUGUACGGUUCUCUUUCCUUGUAUGUUUUCUCUGGGCUUGGCUCUCUUUUAAUGAUAAGUAGCCAUUUUCGGACCAAAAAAUGGAUUUUAAUUAAUUAUCUUCCUAUUUAAGUUAGCUCAAAUCUAAUUGGGAUCAGAAAAUUAAAAUCGUUCUUCAUUCAUUCAUUCUAUUUAUAUACAAAACUCUCCAGUCUCUUGCUCCUAAAAUCUAAACCUCCUCAGUGUGUAAUAAACGUAUAUCAGGACUAGGUAUGUUAUGGAAAUGUUCUUUUAAGGGAUUAGUUACAUGUUAGUUAUCAUAUACAUAUAAUAUCAAUUUAAAAUUUUCACAAGAUGAUGAACUUUUAGUUAAAUUUGUAUAAACUUUUUAGGUUCAACACAACUCACCACAAUUAUCACAUAUUACUAAGUGUAGAGUUUUAUCACAAAAAGCUGGUCAGUAACAAUAGAAGUGAACAUCUCACACUUCAUUUUGUUUGUUCAAUAAAUUUGUCUUUUUAUAGUUUUUUCCAAAAAAAAAUUUGUCUUUUUAUAGUGUUUUUGGACCAAAUGAUCACAAACACGUGUCAUACUAUCAUGCAAUAGAACAAACUGUCAUUAUCAUUGUUUAUACUAAAUGUUGGAUUAACUUAAUUACGUGGGAUAGCAAAUUACACAAACACACAAUGUAUUGUGGUUCAUUUGAAUUUGGAUUGCAUCCACACUGAAGUUGUUUUCUAUUUUCCAUGUAUAAUCGGACAUUGUACAAAAAAACAUGUUUACCCUUAAGAAAAUGAAGCUAAUAGUGUAGAAAAUCUAGGAUGAAAUUGGAGGGAGAUAUCUCUAAAAUGAGGAUGAUGGCACCGGCGAAGCUAUACCCACGGCUAAAGUGAGAUGUAGCCUAGGUAAGUUUUGUGCGUAUUUCAACUAUAUUGGGUUAUUAGCAUAUCAAUAAGGUUACUGCAACCUAUUGUCAUCAUAUAUAGCCCAUUCAGUUCCACUAUUAUCAUGGGGUGUGAUAUCCACAUACCCAUUUUUACUUCUCUCACACCCUUUUAAUUUUCGGUAGUCGGAUCGGAUGAAUUAAAGAAGAUCAAACGAUAGAAAUUAACAAAGGGUGUGAGAAAAGUAAAAAUGGGUGUGUGGAUAGCAAACCCCAUUAUCAUAUGUAUGUAGUACAUCAUAAGUAAUCAAUAAUAUUUUAACCAACUUGAUAUAUUUAUUUUCUUUUUAUUGCAUUUUUAUAUCUUUUCUUAAAAAAAAAAAUUAGAGUGCCAAGUUUUUUUAUUUUGAUUCAAGUGGAGUCUUGUUGUGUAUGGUAGUCCUUGAGCUCAUCACACUAGAAAAAUAGUUAAUUUGAACAACAUCAUUAAAAAUUUGUCCAAAAUAAAGAGUUUUGAAGGGAGAAAAGGCUAAGUAAAAAAAAUGAAAAAUGUUCCCCUUCUUUCCUCUCGUCAGGGAAAGGGGUGAUUUAGGGCCUAGGGUUCGUGCUUCCUUGGCUUCUCCUGCUGUUCACCAAAUUAAUCCAAUUUUGUAACGACCUGUCCCUAAAAAUUAUGAUUUUUAUAAUUUUUAAAUGUGAAUUUAUGAAAAGGCCUUUCGAGGCAAAGAUGUUGACUUUUGUGGACCGUCUUGUCAUGUCAUGUAGGGUUCGUUUUCUUAGUGUAUUCUCGUAGUACUCGUCGAUAUGAACGUGUGGGCGCAAACAUAAUGUAAUUUGGAGUUAUAACGAAGAUUUUAUGAACCUUUAAACGUCGAGGAUAUUUUGGUAAAUUGAUAAUUUAUUGAACAUGUGGUAUUUUGUCGGGCCGUUGGAUGAGUACCACGUGGGGCCACCCCCACUUUUUUGGAACACUCUCUCUCUUUCUUAUUCUUCUUUCUUCGGUAACUCCUCUCUACUCUCUUAAAUCUCUCUUGGCCCUUCCUUUCUCCCGUGAAACAAACCACCAUCAUCACCAAAUCUUUCGGCUGGUGGAACAUCAAAAUCAUCAUUAUUUGCAUGUCUUCACCGUCAUAAACCCAGUUUUGAGUUUUGUUUCAUUGAAAACAAACCUGAAACACGAGAUCAAAGAACAAGGUUUUGGGCCGAGACUUCUAGGCGUGAUUCAGAUAAUUUCCAUCCAUAUUUUGAACUCUAAAUAUAUAUAAAUCGAUUCCUCUCGUCGAUUAGAUAAGUUUUCAUGUUUGGAUCGUUUAAUUUGGUGAAGAAAUGAGAAAGUUAUAACGAUUUAAAGUUUGCCCAGUUUCCGGCGACCUCCGCCACUUUGGAGUCAUUUUUCGGUCAAAUAAAGAUGAGAUAGCAAUCAUCCAAGGUACCAAUCUCUUCGUCUCAUCGAGAACUAUGAUUUUCAUUUUGAAUCACUUGAUUUCAUUAAGUAUUGACAAAGUUAUGGAUGUUGAAAGGUUGCCCAUAAAUUUUGGCAAAUUUCCCUGUUUUCCCGCGGACAACCUUCUUUCAGGUCAUUUUCUGGCCAUCUCCAGCAACCAUUUGGACUCCAAGCAAGUAUAAUUUUGUUCUAUACAUCUCUAGCUUCGAUUUGGUAUAUUAUGAGUCGAAUUUGGUAGAGAAACAAGUGAGAUAUGGAGCUCUAACAAUUGCCCAGGAAAUCUGCAAAAUCUGCAGAAUCCGUUGAAGUUCCAUUAAGGUCUGCCACUUGAUUAGAAGAAUAAUCGAUGAUCCGACUGUUGGAUCAUCACCAAACUUUAAUACAUUAUAGUACAUAAUAUUUUAGGACCAUAGGAACUUACGGAUCAAAAAUCCGACAUAUGAAUCUUUCCGAAUUAGACUUGUAAGUUCGUAAAAUAAAACGUUGACCGCCACUUGAAUUUGUAAUUGGCGGAGAUUCAACCGUUGGAUCAUAAUGAAAUUUUAGUAUGUUAUUCUAGAAGCAUAAUGUGGAUCUUUGGAGGUUACGAAUCAUAAAUCUAGGGAUUGGAUCUUCCGGAUCGAGUUACGUAGGGUUGUGGACCCUACCGUCGACCAUUGACCGACAGUUGACUUUUGGUCAAUGGGUUACAAAUCAUUCUAGAACAUCCUUGGGGGAUUUGUUUUAUAUAAGUUACAUGUUUUAUCGAUAAGAAUUAUGAGAUGUGGUUUGAUAAUUGUUCUAGGCGCCGAUCGUUCGUGACGCCUUGAUAUUUUUGCUAGGGAGUUGUAGCGCAGACUCCAGGUGAGUGAGCUUUUGGUUUCUAUAUAUACGUAUAUAUGUUUUACAUUUUCCCAGAAACUGUUUUAAAUAAGCGUAUAUUUUUAAGUGUCAUGUCGUACUUGCAUUUCAUUUAGUAUAUGUAUUAGUAUGUGUAUGCAUAAUAUUUUAUGACGCUGCGAAGGCCAUAUAAGCUUCAUGUAAGUACUGUAGGAUGAUAGUGGUUGCAUUGUUUAUGGUUAUACGUAGAUGCAUUAAGAGCUCAUUAUCAUGCACCCCCGUGUUAGUGCUCCCGCCCGAGACCAGGGCACAGCCUUCACGUGAUCGUUCACCUCCCACACCGCACCCUCACCUUGGAUCCAAGUUUGGUGCCAGCCUGUCGUAUAGACCAUAUUAGGUGAUUCCGACUCGUAGGUGACCCGUGAUUCAUCGCACAACCUUCACGUGAUCGUAACACUUAAGCGUACUUAUUUACACCUAGCCUGUCGUACAGACCACAAUAGGUGGUUCCGACUCAUGUGCAAGAAUUGGUUUAUGAGCUAUAGAUGCAGCCAUACAGGUCACGUUAGGUGACUCCAACUGACAUAUCAUUUUAUAUUGAUUCACAACACCUGCCUUACAUAUUUAUUACUGAGAUACUUGACAUGAUACAUAAUUUGGUUUUCAUUGCUCUCAAGCCUUAAUUUCUAUAUACGCAUGUAUUAUUAUUUUCUGAGAAAUUAUACGGGUUUUACGGUGAUGGGUUAAUUUUUUUUUUUUUGGAAAGAGAAAUAGUUUCAAAAAGCUUUAUUUUUGCCCACUCACGUUUUCUGUUUUUUUUUUUCGCCCCUCCAAGUUUUAGCUGCUGAAAGUUCGUAUUGACGAGAAUUCUUGGCGAAUCUCAGUAUAGAUGGCUAUCAUACGAGGAUUCUUGGCGAAUCUCAGUGCGAAUCUCAGUAUAGGUGGUUAUCUCUGAGGGUAUGAUCCUUACCCGCACUGAUGUACUUAUGCUCUGACGUCGUGUGUGAAAUGAGUUCAUUCCCGCUCACAACGCACUCUUGUCUUUAGGCACUUUUAGGUUUAAAUUUAUUCACAUUUUCCACAUCACCAUACUUCAUGGCUUCAUCACCUUCCAGGUGUCGGCCAGCACAACUCGAUUCGAAGUCUUAGUCGACAUUCCGAGUCGGGGUGUGUCAAAUUUCUUGCUGAUUAUAUAUCUUGUAGAGUAAUUAUCAGCCCAUUUUUAAGUUGCAAACAAUUAUGGGAAAGUUUUAGAGGAGAAUUUGAACAAGGUGACUUUGAGCGUUUAUGGAAGAGGAAAGGGUUAAAGCGAAGCAAUCCAAAGUUCGAGUCCUACGUGAAAACGAUCAUCAUUCCUUCAACCAAUCUAGUGAAUUGGAAAGCCAAUGAAAGCGUUGUUCAUGAGAAAAGAAUGCAGGUAUGGCAAAUCUCCAUGCUAAAGGAAAGUAAUUAUUAUUGUUUGCAAAUUUGGUUAAUAGAUAACUGGAUAAACUUAAUGAUGAUUCCUUUUUAAACUAUCAACGUUUCUAUGUAUAUGAUUGGUUAGUACAUUUUGUUGAUGAGUGGCUAACCUUUAGCUUAUGAAAAGGGUUUAUUUUUAAUAGGCUAAGUGUUGUUUCUACUAAAUUAGUGUUUCUUGUUAGAUUACGUCGUUUAAGUUUACGGGGAAGCUUUAUUUGUUAUGUGGUGAAGCUCAAUCGGCAUUUCUACUCACCUUUUUCUUGUUUGCGUGCGUCUUGGUUUCUUAACUAGUUUACGUGCCUUAUGUUUCUUCUAGUUUGUAGGAUUUUUUCUAGUCUUAGUUUCUCUUUUACCUAAGUGCUAAACCUGUUUAUAAGGGUUGCUACUGCAUUAAACCCCUCAUUUCAGUUUUUGCAUCUUUUUACUUACCUUACUCACUGUUUACACCCAUGGCUCAACUUCUUGCUUCAUCUUCAAAGUCACCUAGGAAUCCACUAACCUUAGAGAUGCCCAUUGGAUUAAUCCUUUUCCCAGACCUCAACUUGGGCAGCAACCCAUUGUUAUUGAAAGACUUAGAAGUGUUGUCACCCUUGAGAGAGGUUUCACCAUAAUGUCCACUUCUUUGUAUUCUACUACAAAAUGUUGAACAUAUGAAGCGUCGCUCCUUGGUUGGGAAGAUGUUUGGGCAAGUAGUGGAUGCGAAACUCAUCAAAGGAAAGCUUGCUAUAAGCUGGAAGGGUCUGAUUUAAGGUAACUUUUUCCUGGAUCAUUAUGGAAAGAACUGGUACAUGAUUGAGUUUACGAAUGAAGAUGAUGUUGAUGUGGUUUUGGAGGGAAGACCAUGGUAUGUUAAGGGGCAAAUUUUUCAUAUUGAAAAAUGGAUCCCAGAUUUCUAUGACCUAGAUGGGAUACACACUAUUAGAGUAUGGGUUAAGGUUCCGAGGCUGGCUGUCCAAUUUCGUAAGGCUGAUAUUGUGGAGAAUCUGGUCGAAUUGAUUGGGAAAGUGAUUAAAGUGGAUAAAGUUACUUUGCAUGGCUUAAAUGGAUUGUUUGUGAUAGUGCUGAUAGAGGUUAAUAUCUGGUACCCUCUCCCAAGAGUACUUAUGCUUAAUGAUAGGGACAAUGAUCCCAUUUAUGUUAGCUACGAGAACCUUUUCGAAGUCUGUUUCUAUUGCGUACGGAUGAGGUUGGAUUUCUGUAGAUGUCCUCAGGAGUUUAAAGACCCUAGACCUUCAUUCCUUAUUGAUAGGCACUAGAGUAUUCCCUGCCAAUGUCUCAGAAUUGUCAGAUAGGAAAGAUAAGGUUCAGAAGGAUAUCAUGAUCUGCUUCCCCUAAGCUGCACUUUUUGAGGAUGACCACUCGGAUCCAAUUCAUAGAUCUGCUGACGGAGGUGAGCCUGAUCAUAAGGGUUGGAGACAUGUGCCAUUCAAAAAGAGAAGUAGUGUUACUAAAGAGAGAGGCGGUCGGUCUUUAAGGGACAAUCAGACUUUCAAAGAGGUUACUUAUGGAGUUGGUCGAGAGAGAGUAACAAAGGAUUAUCAAGAUCAUAAUUGGGAGGUGAUUGCCGACCUGGAUGAAAACCAUCCUGGGGUAAGCUAUUCUUUAAAUAAUUCUCGGCAAAUUAAUAAAUGUUGUACUCAGCAUGAGAUAGUUAGUCUGGAAGAUAGACUUGGUCACAUUGCUAAUGAGGAGGCCAACCUCUGGGUUGAUAGUUUACUCCUCGACUUUCCUUUUUGAAACUGGCUUGCAACUAAUGAUUUAGAUAAUGAUAUAGAUAAAAAUAUGGUUGAUAAGCAAGAUGUCAUGCUAAUUGAAGCUGCGGGGAGUAUGCCUGGCCCCCCAAAGAUUGCUAUGGUAAAGGAUACCCAAGCUUAUGGGAAAGGCAAGGAAGUUGCGAGGCCUACUAUGGGGAUACUUAGCCCAAGGAAAAGGAUAAGAGAUGAGAGUAACAAGAUAGUUUGGCCCAUUUCAAACCUUGAAGACAUUAAUGAAUGGAGUGGUUGUUUUGGAAUUGCAGAAGUCUUGGUAUACCAGGAUUCAAGAGCCAGUUUAAGCAUCUUAGUAACAUAAAUAAGUUAAAUUUAUUCUAUUUAGUAGAACCUAGGCAGAGUUUGUCUAAGUAUGGCUUAAACCUUUUUAAUUGGUUUUUUUAUAUGAAUCUUGCUUCCCCGAUGGUGGGGUAAGCUGGUGGUGUAUGCCUUUUCUGGAAUUCCUUUGCUGUCCAUUUGGAUAUUCUAUUUGCUUCUCCUAGAUUUGUCUAUUGCCAUGUUACUAACAAGAGAACUAAUUUAACCUGGUUUGCUACUUUUUUUUAUGCGUCUCCUCAAAAGAAAAAUCAUAAGAAUGAUUGGGAGAAUAUUUUAAGCCAUAAUCCUGGGAAUAAUCCCUAGGUUUUAGUAGUAGAUUUUAAUGCCAUUACAAACUUAAGUGAAAAAGUGGGUGGGCAAAAUCAUGUAUCUAAUUAUUUAAUUCAAUUUGUAGAGUUCCUUAAUACAAGGGGUUUAACCACCAUCCCUGCCUCCGACAUUCCAUAUACUUGGAUCAAUGGUCACAAGGAUCAUACCCUAAUCUUUGAAAAGUUUGAUAGAGUAGUUGCAAUUUCGCACUUGUUGAAUUUAUUUCCUGACUCUAGGGUUCACAAUUUCCCAAUUUUUUGCUCCGACCACUGCCUCAUUAAGCUCUCCUUCCAAAGUAUUUUAGUUCAACACCAUAAUAAGUUCAUGUUUGAAGCUAUUUAGCUUAAUCACUCUGAAUUUAUUAAAGUUGUUGAGGAUAGUUGGGUCUGUAAUUUUAAUGGUAACCCAAAUGAUUUCUUUAGAAUGUGUGCUAACAAUUUUAAGCUCAAAGUAAAAGACUGGAGUAGAAUGAAUUUUGGGAACAUUUUAAAACAAAUAAAGGAUUCUCAAAAUGAACUACAAUAUAUUCAAGAACUAUGCUUGAAACAUCCUGAUAAUAUGAGACUUCUUGAUAAGGAACAACAGCUAAAGAAUAACUUACUAAAGCUCUAUAAUGAUGAAGAGAUUCUUUGGGCUCAAAGAGCCAAGGCAAACUGGCUUCAGCUCAGUGAUCGUAAUACAAAAUGCUUCCACACUAAGGCCACCAUGAGGAAAAAAAAGAAAUGAAAUUCUCAAAAUCAAAGAUGAUCAUGGCAUUUGGUGGGAGAAGGGGAAAAACCUUGAAGAUGUUUUCAUUCAAAAAUUUAAAUAGAGAUUUUCUAGUAAUAACCAAAUUAAUGACAACAUUAUGGAUGAGUUUCUCAAUGUUAUCCAACCAACAGUUACUGAUGAUCAAAAUUUUUCCCUCAUGAUACCAGUGUCUGAGCAGGAAAUUUACUCGGCAAUUAAUAACAUUGGAGCCUUUGGCCAUGAUGGGCUUCAUGCUAUCUUUUUCCCAGAAGUUUUAGAAUACUAUGAAAAACUAUGUUAUUAACUUUGUCAAGGAUUUCUUUGAUAAUGGAUCUAGCUUAAGGCUAAUAAACCACACUAAUAUUGUCCUUAUUCCCACCCUGAUUCAAUAGAUAAUUUUAGGCCAAGUAGCCUAUGCAAUAUGGUCUACAAAGUAAUCACAAAAAUUAUAGUUAAUAAGCUGAAACCUAUUCUAGAACAACUUAUUUCUCAUAAUCAAGGUGCUUUUGCUUCUGGUAGGUCUAUUCACGAUAAUAUCCUUAUUGCCCAUGAACUCUUUUGCAGCUUUAGGAAUAGAAAAGGCAGAAUAGGGCAAAUGGCUGCUAAGCUUGAUCUUGAAAAGGCUUAUGAUCUUUUAGAUUGGACCUACAUUAAAAUGACCCUUAGGAAAUUUGGAUUUAAUCAUGAUUGGAUCAAUAAAGUUAUGGAAUGUAUCUCUUCUUACUCUUUUUCUAUUUUGAUCAAUGGGAUGCCACAAGGCUACUGUUAUCCAAGUAGAGGUAUUAGGCAAGGUAACCUUCUAUCCCCGUAUAUUUUCGUCAUUUGUACGGAACUACUAAUAAGACAUUUUAAUAAGUUAACAAAUACCCUGAGCAAUCGAAUUGGCAUCCUCUCAUCUCCAUUUGGUUACCAAAUUGCUAACUUAAUGUUUGCUGAUGACUGUCUUGUAUUCAGCAAAGCCUCCUCCAAAGCUGCUAGAAGGAUUGCUUGCCUUUUACUUCAGUUCGCUAGGGUUUCAGGUUAAAAAAUUAACUUCCAUAAAUCCUCUCUUUAUUUCUCUAAUAAUACCCCUACUAGUCUAAGAAAUGAUAUCGUUAAUAUCCUUCAAAUUCAGCAUAAAACUACAAUUGGUAAAUAUCUUGGUAUUCACAAUAUUAUUUGCUGGAAGAACCCGGUUAAUGCUAAAGAACUCAUUCUUAGAAUUCAAAAUAAACUUGCCAACUGGAAAGCAAGUUCUUUGUCUAGAGCUGGUAGGCUUACCCUUCUCAAGUCUAGCAUUGCCAGUAUGCCUAAUCAUAUCAUGGCUUGUGUUAAAUGCCCUUCUAAGGUUUCCCAAGCCAUCAACAGAAAGAAUAGGAAAUUUCUUUGGAAUAAGAAGUCUAAAUUUUCCCCUGUGGCCUAGGAUGUUUAUACCCAUUUUUUAAGGGUGGCCUUGGUAUUCAAAAAGUUGAAAAAUUCAAUCUUGCCUUCGUGGCCAAGCUUGUUUGGAAGAUUAUUAACGAUAAUGACAACUGGUGGGUGAAAAUUGCUAAAGCUAAAUAUUUGAGACAUGAAUCUAUUUGGAAUACGAAAUGUAAGCAGAAUCAUUAUGCCGCCUGGAAAGAUAUAUUAGCAGCAGGACAUAUUGUGGAGAUGAGUGUGAGAUGGAUUGUGGGAAAUGGUCAAAACAUUGCGUUUUAGUCCCAUAAUUGGGUUUUUCCUUUCCCCUUAUCCAAUAUCAAUGCCCAUGAAUCUCAGCAUCUUAUUGAUUGGAACCUUAAAGUAAACAAUGUGAUGGUGGAUAAAAAUUAGAAUGUUGACCUUCUUAACCAACUCUUGCCAGUUGAUGUUGUUGACAAAAUUUUAGUUAUUCUUAUCCAGAUCCGUGAUGUAAAAGAUAAGUUUAUUUAGGGUCCAACCUCCAAUGGUGUUUUCUCAGUUAAAUCAUGUAACGACCCGUCCCUAAUUUUAUGUUUUUACAAAUUUUAAAAGUAUGAAUUUACGAAAAUGCCCUUAGAGGCGAGAGUAUUGAUUUUCGUUGACCAAUGUUUAGUGAGAUGUAUGAAAUAUUCCUUUAGAGUAUUCAUGUAGUACUCGACAAUACGGCCAUGUAGGCGCAAGCAGAAGCGCAUUGGAGUAUUGAUAUUACCAUUUAUUAUUUUAUAUAUUUUCAUAAGUACCAUUAUAUUAUUUUAAGAUUAUCUUUGGUAAGAAAUGAGAGAAUGAGAAGAAGAAACAAGAGGGAGAAGGGAAAAAAAAGAAGCAAGGGUGUUGGCUGCCCAAUCAGAGAAGAAAUGAGAGAGCUUCGGCCAAGGGAAGGAAGAGAGAGAGAGUGAAGGUGACCAACCAAAGAGAAGGAAAGGAGGGGAAAGGAGGGAGGUGUGGAACACCCAACCCAUCUGACCCGUACAUCCACAGCAACCCGGUUUCGAACCGGUGGAGUUUUCCGACGAUAUCCAUCAAAUUUUCAGGUGAUUUUCACCCAUUCACCACCACUAAACCUCAUCACCAUAUCUUAACAUCCAAUUCUAGCCAAAAUUGACCCGAAAUGGUGGAGAUUUCACGAAGAACAUCCGUGGGUGCCGCGGGGAACCUUGCUCGUGAUUUACCAAAUGUGAAACCAUCUCCCCCAAUUACUACCACUAGAUCACUCCCCUAGAACCCAGGAACAAAGCCCAGGCAGUGGUGGAGGCGUCGAAGCAAGUUUGGAGGUCGAAUCGAGCACACCUAAGUAUAGGGUUUCCGACGGGUUUUAAUCAAAUUGAAGCUCUUCCCAGCAUAUUUGGCCUUGGUCAUAGGUAUGAAAGUUACUCUACUCAUUGAGAUCUUCAUUCCUGUAAUAUUUGGUAAUUUUUUAAAAUAGUUGGAUUUUCCGACGAGUCAAAGCGGUCGACCGCCACCCACGGCGGCGCAUGGCCAGGGGGCCAUCGAUGUUAUUCUUAGGCUAAAUUAGGUGUCUUGAGCUCAGUUUUGGUAAUUGUAUGACAUAGGUUGAUUGUUGGAACCUAAAUUCUCUACGUUACGUUAAUAGGUAAUUAUAUGAAUCGAUGAUUCAACCAUUGGAUCAUCACCAAACUUUAAUAUGUUAUAGUACAUAAUAUUUAAGGACCAUAGGAACUUAUGGAUCGGGAAUCUGAUAUACGGAUCUUCCCGAAUUGGAUUUGUAAGUUCAAAAAAUAAAAUGUUAACUGCCACUUGGUUUUGGCAAUUGGCGGAGAUCCGACCGUUGGAUCGUAAUGGAGCUUUAGGAUAUUGUUCUAGAAGUAUAAUUUGUAUCUUUGGAAGUAAGGGAUCGGAAAUCCAUGAUGUGGAUCUUCCGAAUCAAACUACGUAGGGAUGUGUGUUAUGUAAGUUACAUAUUUUAUUGUUAAGAAUUCUGAGUUGUGAUUGAUAAUUGUUCUAGGGGCCAAUCGUUCGUGACGCCUCUAUGGUUCUGCUGGGGAGUUGUAGCGUGAACUCCAGGUGAAUGGGCUUUUGUUUUUAGUAUAUAUAUGUAUGCUUGGUAUUUUUCCUAGAAAAUGCGUUUAAAUGGAAUUAUGUUUUAAAAUGCCAUGCCUCAUGAUUUAUACUGAAAUUAUGAGUUAGUAUAGUAUGCAUAUUGUGAAUUGACAAUGUGGAUGCUCAAGUGAGUUAUAGAUUUUUAAUGUGAGUUGAUGAGUAUGUUGAGAUGCAUUAAGAACUUAUAAACCUACACCCCCGGUGUUAGUGCUCCCGUUUGUGGUUAGGGCACAGUCCUUCACGUGAUGUUCACCUCCCGCACCGCACGCUCACCUUGGAUCCAAGUUAUGUGCACGGCCUGUCGUACAGACCACUAUAGGUGGUUCCGACUCGUAGGUGACCCGGGAUUAUUCACACAGUCUUCACGUGAUUGUAGCACUUGAGCGUAUUUAUUUACACCCAGUCCUGUCAUACAAACCACUAUAGGUGGUUCGAACUCGUGUGCAGGUAUACUUGAUGAGCUAUGGAUUUAGCCGUAUAGGCCACAAUAGGUGGAUCCGGUUGACAUAUUACUUUCAUUGAUUUACUUCACCUGGUUUACUCGUUUUUUAUGCUGAGAUAUUUGACAUGGCAUAUAUUUGGAUUUUGCUAAUUCGAGUAUGGUUUCGAUAUAUGUAUAUAUUCUAUUUUCUGGGAAAUUAUAUAGGUUUUACGGCGAGGGAUUACUACCUUUAAUAAUUGAAAUGGUUUUUUAAAAGCUUUGUCUUUGCCUACUCAAACUUUCUGUUUUACGCCCCUCCAAAUUGAAUUGCUGAAAGUUCGUUUCGACGAGGAUUCUUGGCAAAUCUCAGGAUAGGUGGUUACUUUUGAGGGUAUAAUCUUUAUCCACUCCACUGUACUUACUUAUGUUCUAACGUCACGUGUGAAGUGGGUUCAUUCCUGCUCACCAGCGCACUCUAGUAUUUAGGCACUCUUAGGUUUAAAUUUAUUCACAUUUUCCCACAUCAUCACACUUUAUGGCUUCGUCACCUUCCAGGUAUCGGCCAGCACAGCUCGAUGCGGAGUCCUAGUGAACAUUUCAGGUUAGGGUGUGUUAAAUCAGCUCACAGAAUUCAACUUGAUGACAUUCAGUGUCACCCUUUUAAGGGGCUUCUUAGUAGGAUUUGAAAACUAAAUAUUCCUCACAAGGUUAAGUUUUUUGGUUGUCUGUUAGUUAGAAAUAAAUUAACCACUAAUGUUAAGUUAAAUAGUUUUAACAAUAAUAAUUCUGCCUUAUGUUCAUUAUGUAAUAGUGCUGAGGAGGAUCUUGGUCACAGAUUUAAAACUUGUCUUUUUGCUCAGGAAGUGUGCAAGCUUGAUACUAAGUUGCCAACUAUAUCCUUUGUUUUGAGUAUCAAUUACUGGCUUGAUAGCCUUGAUUAUAUAAAUAAAGACGACCUUUCCGAUCUUAGUAUGGUCCUUAUUAUUUGGUGGCAAAUGUGGAAUGAAAUGAACGAUUUUGUCAUCAAACAAAUCAAGCCAAACUCCUUCCGCAACUUUAGAGCUGCAAUCUCUUUAGCUAAAAGCUUCUUGCUUGCUAAUUCUAAACUGAGGGCAGGGGCUCAACAUAAGAGUAGUAGUAAGAUUAGAUGGCUUCACCCGGAGUUUGACUACCAUAAAAUGAAUUUUGAUGGAUUUGUGUUAGGUAAUUUUGCUGCAGCAGGUUUUGUCAGUAGAAACCAUCUGGGUCAGCCUUUUUUGGCGGGUUCGAGAAGACUGGGCUAGAACACGAUCAUAGUUGCAGAGGCUUUGGCUGCUAGGGAUGCUUUAUUGCUUGUUAGAUCACAGGGUAUCAAGAAGGCUUUGAUUGAAGGAGACUCGAAAAUUGGCAUUGAUGCGAUCACGGAAAAGUGUUGCAAUCCUUGGCGUAUUCAUGCAAUUAUUGAAGAUAUCAAAUGGUUUGCCUCUUCCUUUGAUUUUAUAAGUUGGAAGCAUAUUUUUAUGGAAGCAAAUUUUGUAGCGGAUGUCGUCACCUCAUGUGGGCAUGUGUUAAAUAACUUUCAUGUUUGGAUUGGUUGUGUUCCUUCUGUAGCUACCAGUGCCUUGUUGUUUGACUCUAGGGCCUUGGAUGUUCCCAGGGUUUUUCCCUCUCUUAAUUUUAUUUUCCUUCUAAAAAAAAGGCUAACGUUGUACCAGAGUAACACAAAAGAAUCAUUACUAUACCGUCUACAUUGUGAUAAGUUCAAAGAUCAAUACAAAUGAACUUUUAGUUCAAGGAUCAAAACUCUAAUUGAAUCAUAUAUCAAGAUUCAAGAGUCAAUGAUCCAACUUUUUUACCUUUACUUUUAUUUAUAUUUAAGUUGGUUGGAAAUUAAUUAAUUGAAAGCCAUAUAACUGUUUGGUUUAUUAUUUAAAAUUUUAAUUUUCUAGCUGAUUAUAAUGUAACUUUACGUAGACAAAAAAAUUUGAUCAUAUCAUUGUACGGUAAUAUUUUUGGCUAGCACAUCCGGUGAAGAAAUCCUAGCUCGCCCUUGGAUGAUGGCACCUUUUUAAUAGGGCAUUGUAAGGAUUUUUUUAUUUUUAUUAUUUUUUUAUUUUUUGCAUCUUUUUGUGGAUUAAUAGAUUGGACCAAAAUGAAACUUUAACCAUAAUUCAACAAAUUAUACACCAAAUAAUUUGAUUGAAUCAGAAAAGUAGAGAUUCAGAUGUCGCCAUGAAAUGGAGUUCAAGUGAACAUGGUACUAACCCAAAAAUCUAAAGUGAUGAAUGUGAAACCCUAACUUCAAAGAAAUCUAAGUAUAAUUUGAUCUUAGAUCAUGUGUAAAGUAGGCACCAUUCUGAUCACUGUCAUAAAAUGUGUUAGAACACCUUUAUAAGAGAAACUUGAGCACAUGCACAGCAAACAAAAUUUGUAUUAGACACCCACCAAAGCAACGUGGAAGUCGAGUAUCAUAUUUCAGAAGUACUCCACCAAAUGGGCACCUUAUUAAAAUAAUUUUUUUAUAUGAUCGGAAUAUAAAAUGGUACAUCAUAUACAUCAUAUAUUAAAAUAUAAGUAAACAUAAUAUUGGUGCAUUUCACUUUAUAGUAUGAUUAAAUGUUAGAUUAAUGAGUCGACAAGUUCAAAUUCACAUUAUGAUGCAAGAACAACAUUCAUCUUCACUAUAAUAGAUGAUUACUUACUUAAAAACUCUUUCUUAUUAAACAGAGAAGUAAAUGAAUAAAGUAAUGGGAAAACUAUAUGAAAUUAAAAAAUGUAGAUGUGAUUAUGUCAGUGAAAAUUGAAAAAGAGAGUUUUAACAUUUAAGGCAUGAUUAGGUUAAGUUAACAGAAGCUUGUCGGGGUUAGGAGACAGAUGGAAUGCACGUGCGUCACCGAAAUCACCGAGAUAUAUUUCGAACGCAAAGAUGCGGUGCACGUGAUUUUCUUGGUCAAAGGUCAAAAAUAGUGAUUACACGAGUCUAUCGAGGAUCUUUAUUUUUUAAUAAAGGAGGGACGGGAAAGAACCCCAGCUAAGAUAAGAACGAUGAUCAUCAUCAUCACCAUUCAACUCAAUUAUUUGCCACAUGAUACAGUUCAAGUGGAUGAUAUUGUUCAAGUGUUCUUUUGUACAGUUCUUUUCUAGCUAUGAUCUUCAAAAUCUCAAAUUUUCCUAAUUUAAUUUUUUAAGAAACUAUUAUUGAGAUUUUAAAAAUCUUAUUUUAUUUUUAAAAUUUAUAAUUAAAAAGAAAAUUACAUUUAUAAAUAGUGCAGAAUAAGAUUUUUGGAGUGAUAAUAACAGUUCUGUGUUUAUUAUUUUACUCAACCAUGUAUUUAAGUGUUCACUUCUUUCAAACAUGUAUUUAUGUUGUUCCAACUUAAUCACGUAGACCUAAUAUUCCAGAUGGUACAACCGCUACAGAGUGUUCCGGUAGUUGGGAAUAAAUGCUAGGUCCGUAUUUCAUACAGCACGUCCUAUGUUUGAUUUCUGGGGUUGGUAAAUCACACGAUAGUAGUCAGGGAUAGGUUGUAAUGCGUAUAUGAAUCUUCUCUACCUCCGAAAUGAUGAACUGUCGUGACGAAGUUACUAGUUGAUAUUUUUUUUAAAUAAAAAAUAAAUAUUCUAGAUAGUACGAACCUUAACAUAUUUGUGGAGUAUCAUGUCGAGCCAAUACACAUUAUCAACAUUGGUGUUUUAGAUAUCACAUUGUUCAUCAAUUAAAUUGCCUAAACGAUUUCUGAGUAGCAUACAUCAUUACACAAUAGACAUAAAUGAGAAUGGAGAAAGGUUUCCAAAAAAAAAAAUGAGAAUGGAGAAAGUGGAAGAGGGAGUUGGCAGAGGAGUUAAGACUUGUACGUAUAUGCUAUGCUGUGAAUCUUUGAUUUAUAUGCUAGUCACACUGCCACGUAUAUCUUCGUGGCUCAACACUCAAGGUUGAGAUGGAGCGUAUAGGAUAUCGCAUGGUUUAAUUCUACUACAACUACUACCCUUUUUAUAAUUGCAUACAAGGAAACGAUAGUAUAAAUCGGGUUAGGAGACGUGUACUUUAAGUGCAUGCAAAUGUUGCUUGUUAUAUAAUAUAUAUAUCUAUAUAUAUAUAUUGGGUUUUCACAUUCCUUUUGUCUGGUGCAGCACGUGUGAUGUAACAUGCCGUUUCAAAAGGAUGAGCAAGCAUAUAUAUGUACAAAUAUAAUAUGCAUACAAAAUUUCAACUUGUUCUGCUAAGGUUUGGCCCAUAUUGCUGACUGCUUGUGGGACAAAUCCGAUCUAAAAUGUUUUUCUUUAGUUCUCUCACAUAUUUUUCGACUAGUUUAAUUUUUAUAAUUUUUAUAUUAUUCAGAGAUGUAGUUUGUUCCACGUAUAAAGUCCUCUUUGUUGCUAUGUAAAGGUAUUGCUUUUUUAGAACAAUAUUAUUCAGAGAGAUACUUGCUCCUGGAUAUGUGACAUAUAUUUUGGGACCAACCUCCUUAAGGAGGUGGCCGCUCUGAGACACGUCUGUUAUUUCGUGGCGGUGGAGACUCUGAAUUAGUUCACCGGAACCAAAAGGUCAACAAUAGCUACCGAUAAUUUGACUUGGAAAUUAUGGAAAAGAGAGUGAUCACUUUGGAUAUGUCAAGGAAUCAUCAUGUCAUCCUAAACAGCACCCCUUUUAAUGUAUGAAAUUUUUAGCACACAUUAGGUCAUCUACAACCGAUUCUACCAAAGAGUAAUAAAUCAAAAUGUAACAUGUUUUGACACAAACUCUAUAUCCAACUAAUGACUAGACCAAAAACUUAUGAGCCCCACUAAGUCAUACUUCAUCUACCAGGGCUACAGGCUGGUCAAAAGGAGCCAGCCAGGCCAUCUCUAGCAGCCUAAAACAUGGGGGAAUAGGCGCGCCCCAACUCACUGAGAUCGAAAUUGUAUAGAUUCCAAAGACACCAGCCCCAGCUGAGAACGAAACAUGGCCUAAAAUCCAUUAAUGUGGACCACGCCUUGCAUGGCACGUGUCGUCCUUCCUCAUAAACAAUGAAAAGAAAUUCUCAUUAGAUCUUUUCCUCCAAAAUCUAGGAAUCAAGUGAUACAAAUCUUUAAAUUUUGAUCAAACGGCUAAAAACAAGGAAGUUAAUAAAAAAUUUAAAAAUUAUAAUAAUUUUUUAUCGUUAGAUCAAAUUUUAAAAGUCUAGAUCACUUGAUACCUGAACUUUAGAGAGAAAGAUCCGGAGAGGAACUCUUUCCAGAAACAAUGAUGCCUCCAGAUUAAUAUUCACACUCCUCUACCGUGCUACUGCUUCUUCCCUUAUUUAAUUUUCUUCCUCUCAAAUUAAAAUUUAAAAAUUAAUUAAUAAUUAAUUUAUCGAAUUAGCUAGCGUCAUAUUGAUGUCAGGUUACUGUUGAAAUUUGAUAUGAUAGUUUAAUUCAAUUAACCACAUCUUCAAUCAAAGAAAGGGCGUAUUCAUUUAGCAACAAGUGACAUUCAAAAUAUGUCUGAAAAUCUUAUUUUAAUAUGGUUAUUUAAUUCAAAUAACCAUAUUAAUUUAAUUAAAAUAAUAAAUUAUUGAGGGGGCUAAAAAAUAAUCUCCUCGGUUGGAGAUGGUAUAAAAUAUGGUAUGUGAUUGAUCCUUUAAAAAUAAUUUAUUGUAAGGCUAUAGAGCUAAACAUGACCCUUUGAUCCCCUUUCGGCUGGAGAUGAUCUUAGAUAAUCAUUUUAUUUUAAAGUUUUGAUUUAUAUUUUUGUGGUUGAGAUAGAAGAGAAAUGCAUUAGGAAAAAAAUAGUUCUAUUGAAAAGAAAAACACUUAUUGGUAGCAUCGUAGUAAGUGCAAGUAUGGGCGUGGUGCCGGUAUUGUAUAUAAGUUGAAGUUUGGUGCACCAUGUUUGGGCUUGAAAUCGUAGAUCUUGACCGAAUAAUAGUGAUGGUAAGCUUAAGAAGGAGGUUGAAAGUCUCGGCCGAUAAUGUAUUGUUGAUCGCAGGGCCUAUUCCUAGGCGAUGUGGGAUUGCAAAGAGAUCAUGAUUGGUUUUUGCCAUGGCCAAAUCCUAGACGAAAUAGGAUAGGCUAAGGAUCAUGAUAGGUUGCUAAGAAGAUUUAGAUUAACUACCCAAUGAUUAGGAUUGGUUUCUGGAUAAAACCCGAAUUCAUUACAUAAUAUGAUCAGGUUUAGAGUCUUAGUUCAAGUUAAAAAAUGUGAGACUCAGUUACGAUAGAGUUCUGGUGGAAAAAUAUCUUCAAAGAGACUGAGGCAAUUCUACUAUAUCAGGAUAAUAUUUCAAGAAAUGAGAUGGAUGCGAUAGUAAGAAACUUUUUCAAUCAAUAUUUGAAAGGAAAACUAAUGAAAAUGGCUUGAAAACUUUGAGUUUUAAUGAUAAGGACAAAAUAAAGGAUGAAGUGAAUAGUACCAGAAUUGACUUUUUAAUGUAAAAAUGUGGUUUUUCGUUAAAGUGGACAGUACCAGGUGCUUUUCGUUAAAAUUCCCAUAUUUGAAAGGGGGCGUGAGUUCGAGUAAGAUACAAAUUGGGUCAAUUGAAGGGUCAUUGACUAUUUCAUAUGCACCUCUUCAUGAUAUUCAUCCAUAUAAUCCUCAUCCAGGUCGCUAGGACACCAUAAAAGAGAGAAAAUGCUACAAUGUUUGAUAGAUUCAUAGGAAUUGUAGAUUUAGAAUUGUGCUUAAUUAUGACCUCAACCAAUAAGUCAUCACCAACACAAUUUGGUGUUGAGCAUGUUAUGCAAAAUCAGCGUUAGUCUUUGGAAGGGAAGAAGAUAAAAAAUAAAACCGCAUUGUCUCAGUACUUACUACAUGUUCUGAAGGAGGAAAAAAAAUUCGUUCGUGUAACUUGGUGUAGGGAAAAGGUUUGGCUUACAACCAUGGGAAAUGCAGUAUCAAGGUAAUAUGGAUAUAAAAGGCAAUUAAUGUGUUGCUUGAGGAAAUCUUGACCCAAAUUGGCUACACAACAACCUGCAUCAGCGUUUCUAAAAUUAGCCACAAUAGUCUCUUCUUGGAUCCCCAGACUUGACUUAACUAACUAAAGGAUUCUGGCCUAUGACCUAAUCUGCGAGAACCCGAGCUUCUUUACCAGAAGAAGCACAAAGUGCACUACGUUCCGUGAACUAGUGCCCACAAAGAUCCAUACAAGUGCGCAUUUUUGCUAUGACUAGUUAGUUAUCUUUCCUGUUCUUACAGAACUCUAACAACUGCCGACAAGCUACGCAGCCUAUAGGUUCCAUAAACUUAUAAGCGCAUAACACCCCUUGGGUUACUAACCAUGAAUUUCCAAACAACUGCAUACUUUUGUUGUGGCCAGUUAUCAACUUUUGUGUUUCAUAUAUCUUUAUUAUGUUGUGAUGCAGGCCACACAGCUCAAAAGAUCGGUGACUUAAGGACCAACGAAGCAGCGACGCAUGGUCAGGGUAGUAACUCACGAUGAACUCAACUAUUUAACACCCCAGCAAGCCAAAACUCAUGGCCUAGACACAUUUGCUAGGAUCGCCUGCUUUUAUCAAAAUUGUGUGAAUAGUUCGCAACUAUAUGGCUAAACGUUUUACAAGACACUUCAAACAAGCAAAAUUUCAAGAACAUUCAAGGCAAUUGAAUAACGAAGAUAGAGCUAAAGAAAAAAAGCAACUCACAAAAUUUCUGGCAAUUGAUCAAACUAGCACGAAGGCCACCAAAAUCUGACACAAGCUAAACAACUUUUGGCUAGCCUACGCAACUUUAGAUUUAUAUGCCUUUUGCCCUUUACUAUACGCAGCAUAUCAUGUGUGAAGGCAUUUGUGAAACCAAAAAUAAUCCAAACAAUCUUGUAGCUGACGCAUGAACUUUUAUGAAAUGAUGAAUAUUGUAAAUGCUAAGUAGUAAAUGUAAAUAUGGGUGGCCUCAUUCCUACAUAUGCAAUGACACCAAAACGCACCCAAAAAGCACAAACUCCAACUCUUUCAACUCCUCAAUCCCCUGUUUAAUUCCCAUCAUAUAUUUAAGAGAGUUAGAAGAGAUGAGGGAAAAUAAUAGUUAGAGUUAUCUUUAUACACUUAUUAUAUCAUGUAAUGAGAAAAAUCACUAGUGCUAUCCUGAAUACGUAGGCACAUUUGCCGAACUUCGUAAAUAUUGUGUCUUAUUUACUUUAUAUGUCACUGUGAACACAUGUCGUCGAUUUCACAACACAACCUCAUCAAGUUCUCUUGCCCAUGACGAGAAGAAAAGUUUGUUUGUACCAUACUUGACUAAUCCCGAAACUACUGAACACCGGUCAACGUUAUACCGUCAAGGACCCAUAAGAGUUUCCCUCCAACCAGGAGGCCAAUCACAGCGCGACAUGUGUCGACAUCAGAAGCCAAUCAUAGCGCGACACAUGUCAACAUUAGAAGCCAAUCACAACACGACACGUGUCAAUAUCAGAAUGAAACUAAAAACUCUCUUCUAUAAAUAGAAAUCAUUCUCUCACAAUAUUACCUAAUGUCAUUUGUACUAAAUCAUUCACUUGUACUCACUAAAUGAGAGCUUGAACCUAUGUACUUGUGUAAACCCUUCACAAUUAAUGAGAACUCCUCUACUCCGUGGACGUAGCCAAUCUGGGUGAACCACGAACAUCUUGUAUUUGCUUCCCUAUCUCUAUCCAUUUACAUACUUAUCCAUAUUAGUGACCGAAGCAAUUUAGUGAAGGUCAUAAACUUAACACUUUCUGUUGUACCAAAGUCCUCACUGAUUUUGUGCAUCAACAUUUGGCACCGUCUGUGGGAACGAAACUUAUUCUCACUCUCUUCAGCUUUGUUAAACUGGUUUCCACCAUUUGUAUACUCUCUUUUGACCAGGCAUCUCUCUCCAAUAUGGGGAGCGAAGGAAGCCACAGCACAUAGAAUGACACCUCUCUUGCACUUAGUGCGAAGCAACAAAAGAAGGAAGGAAAAAUGGUUGCUCUUCAAACUAAAGUCGAUGAGCUAGAAUCUCAAAACAACAAGAUAACAAUGAAGAAUGGGGUCCUCUAGGAGCAGCAUGAGAAGCUAUUUGAGAUGCUCCACGAAACUAGGUGUACUCAAACACGCAAACUCGUUACCUCUAUGGACAUACACCAUCAUUUGGAUGCCUCCCAACAAGGAAGGUCACCUUCCUUCGACAUGGGUAUCCCUGAUGAAGAGCGAACUAAUCAUCAAAACAUUGAUCAACAUGAGACUUCUCUCAACCCAGCUGCUUCCACCCAAAGCAGGAGAAGUGGAGGAAGACACCUCCUUGCAGAAAGGUUGGAAGGAUCGAAAGCUGUUUAUCGUGAUUGCCGUGACUUCCUAAAGCAACGUCGAGAGAAUCCCCUCCACAUAAGCUCGAAGAUCAAUGACCCAAGGGUUUCUAAAAGACUCGGUCCCCUCCCAUGUCCCAGGCCGGCUACCAAUUUAGGGAAGGGGCAACAAGUCUUAAAUAAACACGAAGGUAUAGGGGACUCAAAGAUGUUUCGACAGACAUACCUUGAAAGUUAGUACAGCGAGUCCAGGGAAAAAUCACAUGCUCUUGAUCAAACCUUCCUACUUCCAAGAUGAGAUGGAGAUUUACGAAAGAAAGCUCCAGUGGUACAUGACUCCACUUAGGACCCUCUUGUCCUACAACUUUUUAAUGAAGUAAACAAGUUGAAGGCCGAACGACAAGCUGAGAUACCUAAUUGGAACCAACCUAGGCCUGGCCCUCUUACAAGGAGGAUCCUCCACACCCCCUCCAAGCAAAGACAAAGCAGAAGCUUGGCUGGCAACUCUAUACUGGAAAGGAGGACCCGAUUGAACACCUUAACCUCUUUGAGUCCACCAUGGCAUACCGAAUGCACACCGACGAAGAGCGAUGUCUUCUCUUCCUCUCCACCUUCUCUGGCGGAGCUCUAGAUUGGUAUUGCAGUCUUCCACCUGAGACGGUAGACUCAUUUGAGGAAUUGAGGAAACUGUUUAUUUCUCAACACAUUUUCUAGACCGAUCGCUUGCAUUCUGCAGAUGACUUGUACACUAUUCGCCAGAAUCCGGACGAGUCACUACGAGAGUAUGCCGGUCGCUUCAGCCAUGAGUAUUCUCGCUGAGCUGAGGCAGAUGACAAGACCGCCCUCAAGGCUUUCACGGCAGGCUUACGUGAUUGUUUCUUCAAGUACAUGAUCAAUGCCAACACUUAGAAGACUUACUCUGAGGUGAUGGCAUACGCUUACAACCAUGCCUCCGCCGAGGCAAUGACAUAUCAAGGGAAACCCCCCACAACCACCCCUUAUCAGUAAGUAGAGAGUGGAAGCCAGAUCCAACCAAAUAAGAAUACCUCGACCUUCCAAACACAGCGGUGCCUCCCCCUGUCUUACUUAAUACUUUGCCAAGUCAACAGACAUAUCAAUUUCAGGGCAAAAGGAAAGAUUUCCAUCCUCACCAGUCUCAUUUUAGUAAAAGGAGUAAGGGACAUUACCGCGAUAACUAAGGGUAUCGCCAUGAUAAUCCCCAACCCUAAGCAGUCAACACAGUAGGUCAAACACGUGUCAGGACAGCCUCUACCCCGAGGUAUGAGGCAUACACACCUUUGAACGCCACAUACGUGCCCAAUUACCCCAUCAUAUCACACCUGAUACCGAAGCCAAAGUCGAGACACCCGGAUUACAAGCCCACGAAGAACACGGGCACGUUUUGAUGCUACCACGAGCAUAACGGCCAUGACGGCAAGAAGUGUAUCACCAUUCGUGAUCAUAUUGAAGCUUUGGCACGUGAAUGAAAAAUUAAUUAAUUCCUCAUUCACCCUCCAAGGGGUAACCGUAACCAACACCAGGUGAAUGUGAUAUAUUCCAUAAGUGGUGGCACAUCCAUAUCUAAAUCUUCCAACAGGACCAUGAAAAAUAGUGAACGAGCUUUAAGGUCUAGCCACCAAGUGUUUCACAUGGAAGACAUCAGGGGAGGUAAAUAUCAAAAGCUUAACUGGGAUCCAAUAUGUUACUACCCUGAGGAAGAAACCUUCACAACGACCUACUGAUCGUGGAAUCUCACAUAGCCAACUUUAAAGUACGACGAAUCUAUGUAGACACGGGGGCUUCGGUCAAUAUCAUGUUUGAUGAAUCUUUCAGGGCACUUAAUAUAGCUGAACACUUGCUCGAUCGCUCGAUUUCCCCUCUGAUAAGCUUCUCCGAUGAUAUCGUGCAACCUUUAGGAAGCAUACACUUACCUUUUACCAUUGGUACAGGCCUUUACACAGCUACCAUUACCACUAACUUCCUGGAGGUUGAUUGCCCAAUGGCAUACAAUGCCAUUUUUAGACGCACAGGUAUCAGUGAUCUAAAGGCCAUGGUAUUCACACAUAUGUUGUUGAUGAAAUUUCCAACCCCUAUGGCAAUGGUUACAUCAGAGGAGAUCAACUUAGUGCACGAUCAUGUUACAACACUUCGGUCAAGCAACAACAUCUGCAUGUGCCCAAGAAAACCCUUUCUAUACAUGACCAAGUCAUAAAGACCAGCCCAGACGAAGCCAACUUGGAUCUUCACGAUGGCAACAGUCAACCCGACGAUCCUCGAGAUGACUCUUUCACCCAGCAAGCACAACCCAAUGAAGAGUUGGAGAAUGUCUCUAUCACAAAAGAUUAUCCGGAUCGCAUGGUGAAGAUUGGUACCACUUUGUCACCACCCAUUCGGUUGGCAUUGAUCUCUUUUUUGCAAGAGAACACUAAGGUCUUUGCCUGGUCAUACGAGGACAUGCCAGGCAUCUCUCCCAAUAUAAUCUGUCAUCGCUUAAGCAUUGACCCCAAGACCAAGCCAGUGAGACAGAAGCGAAGAUCUUAUGACGUUGAACGGUAUAAGGCAAUGAAGGCAGAAGUUGAAAAACUCAAAGGCAUAGGUUUCGUCCGCGAAGUCAAUUAUCCAACGUGGUUAGCAAAUGUUGUCCUUGUUAAGAAGAAUCCAACCAAGGAAAAUCUCCUGCUCCAAAAGGUCUUGUGGAGAAUGUGUGUCGAUUACACCGACCUAAACAAAGAAUGCCCGAAGGAUAGCUUUCCUCUUCCUCUCAUAGACAGACUUAUAGACUCUACAGCAGGGUGUGAACUCCUGAGCUUCAUGGAUGCUUACUAAGGAUACAACCAAAUCCUCAUGAACCCUUCAGACCAAGAACACACAGCCUUCACUACUGACAGGGGACUAUAUUGCUAUAAAGUCAUGCCCGUCGGCCUAAAGAAUGCAGGAGCGACUUAUCAGAGACUGGUCAAUUCAAUGUUCGCCGAACAGAUUGGGAAGGGCAUGGAAGUUUACUUUGAUGAUAUGCUAGUCAAGAGCAAACAUGCUGACCAACACACCACCAACCUAUCUGAAACUUUCACCAUUCUUAAGAGGUAUCGAAUGAGGUUGAACCUCAACAAAUGUGCCUUCGGCGUAGGCUCUGGAAAAUUCUUAGGUUUCAUGAUAAGCCAACGAGGCAUUGAGGCUAAUCCCGAAAAGAUCAAAGCAAUCAUCGACAUGAAGGAACCGAUAACUUCAAAAGACAUCCAGAGCCUUACUGGCAAGGUGGCAGCCUUAACUAGGUUCAUCUCUAAGGCCAUAUAUAGAUGUGCUCAUUUCUUUAAAACACUUAAGGGAAGUAAGAAAUACAUUACAUGGACUGAUGAAUGUGCUGAGCCAUUCAAGAACCUCAAAGACUAUAUGAGUAAAGCCUCUUUGCUCUCCAAACCUGAGGUUGGUGACACUCUCAUUAUCUAUCUGUCGGUAUCGACUUCAGCAGUAAGUUCUGUUCUCAUUCGAAAGGAUGGUAAUGUCGAACGGCAUGUUUACUACACUAGCAAGGCCUUACAAAAUGCGGAGACACGAUACUCCAACAUUGAGAAAUUGGCUCUAGCAUUGGUCAUGUUUGCUCGAAAACUUCGCCCUUACUUUUAAGCACACUCCAUCAUUGUGCUUACCAAUCAUCAUCUUCGACAGAUACUCCAAAGUCCUAACAUUUCUGGGCGAAUGAUCAAAUACGCAAUAGCAUUAGGUGAGUUUGACAUCUUCUACCAACCAAAGCUAGCUGAGAAGGGCCAAGCAGUAGCAGACUUCAUCGUCAACUUCACAUAUCUUGUUGACAUUGUUUCUACACCUAAAGAAGUGGUUUCAUUACCCUCGGAAGCUCAUAAAAUAGAACCAACAGCCCCAGCAUGGAGUCUAUAUGUUGAUGGCUCUUCCAACCAACAGGGCUGUGGAGGAGGACUAGUCUUUACGACCCCUGACAAAGUGGCGAUGGAGUAUGCUCUUCGUUUCAAAUUCAAGGCGUCGAACAAUGAGGCUGAAUAUGAAGCCCUCCUAGCAAGCUUACGUUUGGCCAAACACCUUGGGGUUAAACGAAUUGAUAUCUUUAGCGACUCCCAAUUGGUGGUUAACUAGGUCACCAACAACUUUAAUGCUAAGGAUAGCUUCAUGGCUGCAUAUCUGGCACAAACAUAAUUGUUGCUUAAGCACUUCCACUACCAGAUCACCCAAAUUCCUCGAGCAGCAAACAGUCAUGCAGAUGCUUUGGUUCGCUUCGCCUCAGCGGUGGAAGACAAGAUUGGGAGAAAAAUUCAGGUCGAAUUGUUGGCAGCACCAAGCACUAUGGUUGCGGAAGUGUGCAACUUACAACAUCGGGAUAGUUGGAUUACCCCGAUUUAUAGAUUCCUUGCUCAUGGCACCCUUCCGAAUGACAAAGUCCAAGCUUAGCAUAUUCGAUACAAGGCUACCCGUUACUUGAUCAUUAAUGACCAACUUUACAAGCGGGGUUUUAACCUACCAUACCUAAGAUGCCUUACGCCCGCAGAGGUAGAAACUGUCCUUCGGGAAAUACAUGAAGGAGUCUGCGGAGAUCAUGCUGGAUCUCGAUCCCUAGCACACAAGGCUUUUCGUCAAGAAUGUUACUGGCCAACACUCCACCAAGAUGCCAUCAGAAUAUCCCGCUCAUAUGAUAAGUGUCAACAUUACGCAACUAUUCCUCACUCCCCUCCCGAGCCGCUCACUCCUAUAAUCAGCCCUUGGUCCUUCGCCCAAUGAGGACUUGAUUUGAUCGGCCAUAUGCCUGCAGGGAAGGGCAAGGUCUGCUAUGCAAUUGUUACAGUUGAUUACUUCACAAAGUGGGCCGAAGUAGAACCCUUAGCAACCAUUAUUGAGGCAAAAAUAGAAGAUUUCGUAUGGAAAAACAUCCUUGGCAGAUUCGACAUUCCCAAUGCGAUAGUCACUGACAACGGGCGACAGUCCGACAACAAUAAGUUCAGGAUGUUUUGCUCUAAGUUCAACAUCAACUUAUGUUUUGCCUCCCCAGCUCAUCCUCAUUCUAAUGGACAAGUUGAAGCCAUUAACAAAAUAAUCAAGCGAACUUUGAAAACCAGCUUGGACAAGGUUAAAGGUUGUUGGCCAGAAUUUGUACCCCAAGUUCUUUGGUCAUACCGCACUUCGUAUCGAACAUCAACAGGAAAAACCUCAUUCUCACUUGCCUUUAGUACAGAGGCAGUUGUCCUAGUUGAGCUUGAGCAAGCAACGUUCCUAGUCCAGAACUACGUGCAAAGCGAAAAUGACAAACAACUUACCCUCAACUUAGAUCUAGUCGAGGAACACAGAAACCAGGCUCACUUGAGGAAUGUCGCCUACAAGCGACACGUCUCCAACUACUAUGACUCCAGGGUCAAACCUCGUUCUUUCAAAAUGGGGGACUGGGUAUUGAAGAAAAGAUUACUCUGUGACAGAGUCCUGAGUGAAGGAACACUUAGUUCAAACUGGGAUGGACCGUUUGAAGUUGUUAGCUUCAGUCGCCCUAGCUCCUACAAGCUUAGAAGCUCCAAUGGCAAGACCCUUGGCCAUCCAUGGAACGUUGAUCACUUGAAGUACUAUUACAAGUAAACUCACAUUGUACAAGUGUUAAGCUUCAGCCAUUCGACAUCCUAUGUAACGAAGACUAUUUGGCAUGAAUUUAAUAAAGAGGUGAUUUAGACAACUCGGUCCUAAUCCUCUUACAUUCCUAGCAAUGAAACACUCGGGGUUCAAAGCUUCAACAUGAAUGCUUCCAACAGGAAAUCAAGUCUAAGUAUAUGUCAACAAGACUAUACAAAUAAACAAACAGUAUUGGACAGAACUAGUACAUCCAAGUUAUGGCUUAUAUCUAAACAAAGGAUUUGCUCAAACAUAGCCAGGCAUUCAUCAAUGAUAGUGCAAAUACUUGGUAAUUAACAACAAACUAGUACAUCCAGAGUACAUGGCACAUGCCACACAAACAACAAACUAGUACAUACAUAGUACAUGGCACAAGUCACACAAGCAACAAAUUAGUACAGCUAGAGUACAUGGCACAUGCCACAUAAACAACAAACUAGUACAUCCAGAGUACAUGGCACAAGCCACACAAACAACAAACUAGUACAUCCAGAGUACAUGGCACAUGCCACACAAACAACAAACUUGUACAUCCAGAGUACAUGCAGAAAAAGAUGGCACUACAAGUCAUCCUCAUCUGAGGCCAAACCCCUGACAAUAUCACUCUGCGUUUCAACCUCAUUGCCAUCACCACCUUCCUCAGCAUCUCCAGGACCAUCCUCACUCUCCUAAGACUGCUCACUGAUACUAGCCUCAUUAUCAGAGUCAUCAUCACCACUAGGAUCAACUGCAAGGACGAAGGUUUUACCCUUUUGUCGAUACUCAUCCAUCUCAUCACGGUACUUUCAAAUAAUGUUUCCAUUGUCGUAACGCUCAAGGAUGGCCAUCCAUUUCCUUUUCUCAAAAUUAGCCGCUCGGAUGCAGUGAGGUCUAAAAGCAUCUUGAAAGGCCUAGGAACCUAAGAACUCCUGCACAGCAGCAUCCCUCUCAGUUGGAAUACUCUUCUUCAGCCCAUAAACCUCAAUCAAGGCACUAUCGAACUCCCAUUUAACCUUGGAAACCACAAGGAUGGUUGUCUCCAACUGUUCCUUAGUUGCUUCCAAUUGUUUCUUGAGCCUCACGUUCUCACCAUUCCGCCUCUUCAAACUCUCAAAGUUUUCAUCCUUAAGGCGAAUGGCAUCAGCCAAAGCUUUGCUCGUUUUUCUGGCGUCAUUUACAAAUUGCUUAUUCUUUUUAAACUUUGCCUUGUACCGCUCGACUUCUCGUAAUCUGUCAAAGUACUCGGUCAUAACCUACAUGACAAGAUAAUCGUCACUACCAGGAAAAAGAGGGGAGAAAGCAAAGAAAUGACAAAGUAACAUUUACAUAAGAAGAUAGCCUCAGCAUCCGGUCAUGAUCUGAUUCGUUCUCAUCUGGCGGCUCGCCAAGCUCAUCAAUAGUGGAUCAACGUCCUGCCAGGCAAUUAUUGACAUACCUAAAACUACUUGGCUGCAUGGCAACCUUCAAGUCAUUCCAAUGAAUGCUGCCAACCUCUUCCUUGUACUUUCUCUUACGGCUACAGCUAGGGCCACCUUCUUGGUCAAUAGACUCUAUGGUUGGAGGAAAUAUAGGAUUGAUGGUAGGAAGAAAAGGCAACAGUCGUUUCUCCUCCCCUACAACUAUGGCAGUAGCACACCCGAUGGCCUCAGCUUCAGCCUUCUUUGAGGUAGCAAUCUUGAGGACCUCAUUUUGCGACUUAGGUUUAGCGGUUGGCCUCACCCGGUGCUUACGAGCUCCCUUGUGAAACAAAAUGUCGUCUACGGGAACUAACAUGGGUGCUUUCCCUUUCUUGGCGUUAGUCUCCCCUUUCUUGCCCACUUUCUCCACUGAAUAAGAAAAAUCAAAGUAAGGAAUGCAACUUUGUAAAAGAAAGAGGGGGCGAAAUGAAAGACACAACUUACUUGCUCAUCUCUGGCACUCCGACAUUAGAGGCUGGAAACCGUACUUUCGAAAUAAGGGUCGUAGCUUGCCCAAAUAUCUAUCCUCUUUGGGCACCCUCAACACCUUCUCUACGUCAGCUAGCUCUCGUCCAGACAACUUGAUGGUCCCUCGCGUCACUGCACGAAGAAAAAAUGUUAGAAGCAAGAGAAAAUCAUAACAAAUAGCAAAUAAUGCAAACAAUGGAUACAUUACAACCUACAGUCUGGAAGUGAGUAGGAACACGUCACUCAGGCGUGACACCUUUAGCAUACUCCCAAUCAUUAUAAAGAAAGCACUAAGGGUUUUUCCAAGUGCAGUACGCCUUUUUCUUACCAAAGACAAUACGCUAUCUCUCACUACGACAUACACAUUCGGCAUACCCAGUGCAUGCUUUCAUCGGGCGCAUCUUAUAGCAAUAGUGCCAUUGAAGAAAGGAAGGCUCACCUAACCCACAUUCCAUCCAAAUAAUAUAAAACCCGAUCAAGGUAUCCCAAAAACCAGAGUAGAGUUGCCCAGGCGCAAUAUAAUGAAAGACAACAUCCGUUGCCCACAGGUGCAAAGGCAGCUUCACCCCUAAAGUCAGUAAUAUCUGGGUAUAGGACAUAACAUGACCCUUGGGUGGUUCAGAGGACAAUUCUUCAUGAUGCACCAAACACAUUCCUACACUACGGGUGAUACUACAUGACUGCCUUAGGGCCUCAAGCUACUAUUCGCUAUCUAACAAGUUUUGCACCAAAUGGUCUGCUGUGAACUCAGGGCGAAAUAUGGGUAUGGCGUCACAAACAACCCCCUCACCCACUGACAUGAAGGAGGAAAAAACCAAUAUUAGCUAAGGCUUGGCAAUUGCGAAGAUCACCCAAUCUUGAAUUUUUUGUACAAGACUCCAACAAAGGCUCUGAAGACUCCAACAUUGCAAGCUCAAACCUAGAGUUAGACUUAAGGGAGCCCCCAUCACUAGGACUUCCAAACUCUAACAUCUACAACAAAUAGAAACAAACUCUAUCACCACAUGAAAGAUCGAAACAUAAGGACGUUCCUAGGGCGUGGAGAAAAGCUCAAUCAGUUCAUUAUGUUCUUAACCAAAUACAUGAACACUCAAACAAUUCAACAAGAAUGAAAGCAUGUGAUCUAGUGGAGAAGACUAAUAAGCUGAAGAUGGUGCAAAGCAAUGCCGGAAUACCUCUCAACUAUAAGGGCACUCUAUCUCCAAAAAUCACUACAAAAUGAGCAAAUGAAGACAAUGAAAAAAGUGGAAACUUCUCAUUCUUAUAGGGUUCAACAUGGCCAAAGAAAUUCAAAAUUCAACAUUCAAACCAUGAGAAAACCCCACAUGGAAAGUCUUCAAACUUCCACACAAGCUACGGAGUUUUCAAAUUUCAAACUUGCAGCACCCCCUCUCCCCCUAAAAAAAAACGGAGGUGAACAUAUUAGCUUCAUCAAUUUAUGGUGCCAACAAGAGCUUCAUCAAUUGAGGGCAACCACAAUUCUCAAAAGCUUCACACACUCUUGAUCAAGACAGUGUGAAGCAAAACCAAUUUAUGGUGCCAACAAAAGCUUCAUCAAUGAAGGGCAACGACAAUUCUCAAAAGCUUCACAAACUCUUGAUCAAGACAAUGUGAAGCAAAAUCAAUUUAUGGUGCCAAUAAGAGCUUCAUCAAAGGAGUUCAACCACUAUUCUCAAAAGUUUCACACACUCUUGAUUAAGACAGUGUGAAGCAAAACCAAUUUAUGGUGCCAACAAGAGCUUCAUCAAUGGAGAGCAACCACAAUUCUCAAAAGCUUCACACAUUCUUGAUCAAGAUAGUGUGAAGCAAAACCAAUUUAUGGUGCCAACAAAAGCUUCAUCAAAGAAGUUCAAACACAAUUCUCAAAAACUUCACACACUCUUGAUCAAGACAGUGUGAAGCAAAACCAAUUUAUGGUGCCAACAAGAGCUUCAUCAAAGGAGUUCAACCACAACUCUCAAAAGCUUCUCACACUCUUGAUCAACACAGUGUGAAGCAAAACCAAUUUAUGGUGCCAACAAAAGCUUCAUCAAUGAAGGGCAACUCAAUGGAAGGCAACCACAACUCUCAAAAGCUUCACACACUCUUGAUCAAGACAGUGUAAAGCAAAACUAAUUUAUGGUGCUAACAAAAGCUUUAUCAAUGGAAGACAACUACAAAUUCUCAAAAGCUUCACACUAUCUUGAUCAAGAUAGUAUGAAGCAAAAUCAAUUCAUGGUACCCAACAAAAGCUUUAACUCCAAAGCUUUACCUCCAAAACUUCAACUUCAAAGCUUCACCUACAAAGCUUCAACUCCAAAGCUUCACCAACAAAAGCUUCAUCAAUGGAGGACAAAUACAAAUUCUCAAAAGCUUUACACUAUCUUAAUCAGGAUAAUGUGAAGCAAAAUCAAUUCAUGGUACCCAACAAAAGCUUCAACUCCAAAGCUUCACCUACAAAGCUUCAACUCCAAAGCUUCACCUACAAAAGCUUCAACACAAAAACUUCACCCACAAAAGCUUCACCCACAAAAGCUUCAACACAAAAGCUUCACCAACAAAAGCUUCACCAACAAAAGCUUCAUCAAUGGAGGACAACUACAAAUUCUCAAAAGCUUCACACUAUCUUGAUCAAGAUAGUGUGAAGCAAAAUCAAUUCAUGGUACCUAACAAAAGCUUCAACUCCAAAGCUUCACCUACAAAGCUUCAACUCCAAAGCUUCACCUACAAAAGCUUCAACACAAAAGCUUCACCCAUAAACGCUUGAUCCACAAAAACUUGACCCACAAAAGCUUCACCCACAAAAGCUUGACCCACAAAAACUUCACCUACAAAAGUUUGACCCACAAAAGCUUCAACACAAAAGUUUCACCUACAAAAGCUUCACACUAUCUUAAUCAAGAUAGUGUGAAGCAAAAUCAAUUCAUGGUGCCCAACAAAGCUUCAACCUCAAAGUUUCACCUACAAAACUUCAACACCAAAGCUUCACCUACAAAACUUUAAAAUAUAUAUAUAUUUUUUUUUUCGGAAAUUCGAAAAUUCAAAAAUCCGAAAAUUCGAAAAAUCAAAAAUUCGAAAAAAAAAAAAAAAUUGCCUAGGCCUCAUUUUCUUUGGGCCUAACAACUUUCAUAACAAAUAUAUAUGAAGAAGGAGUUUUGGGCUACCACUUAGUAAGGAAGUGCCUCAUUCGUCAACUUCCUCGACCGGAGACUUGGGAGAUUGGGUAUUGAAGAAAAUAUAACUCUGCGACAGAGUCCCGAGUGAAGGAACACUUAGUCCAAACAGGGAUGGACCGUUUGAAGUUGUUGGCAUCAGUCGCCCUGGCUCCUACAAGCUUAGAAGCUCCGAUGGCAAGAGCCUUGGCCAUCCAUGGAACGUUGAUCACUUGAAGUACUAUUACAAGUAAACUCACAUUGUACAAGUGUUAAGCUUCAGCCGUUCGGCAUCCUAUGUAACGAAGACUAUUUGGCAUGAAUUCAAUAAAGAGGUGAUUUAGACAACUUGAUCUUAAUCCUCUUACAUUCCUAGUAAUGAAACACUCGGGUUCAAAGCUUCAACAUGAAUGCUUCCAACAUGAAACAAAGUCUAAGUAUAUGUCAACAAGAUUAUACAAAGAAACGAACAGCUUCACAGUAUAUUCGUUCAAUCAUACAUUCCAACACAUUCAUACAUAAGCUAACUGUGCUUUGAAAGGGUUCAACAUAUUUUGUGUCAUUCGACACUUGCUACAAUGUGCCUAGACACCUUGCCCUUAUUCUCACCAACCAGGUGAUCAAAUAUGAAGAAUGAACUCAUCUUCAUGCUACCAACUAGGUGAUGAAAUGUACAACCCGUACUCUCCUUCAUGCCACCAACCAGGUGAUGAAAUGUACAACCCAUACUCUAAUAUCAUUUGGCAACUUGCCACUCAUGCCACCAACUAGGUGAAGAAGGAACUCAUCUUCAUGCCACCAACCAGGUGAUGAAAUGUACAACCCGUACUCUCCUUCAUGCCACCAACUAGGUGAUGAAAUGUACAACCCGUACUCUAAUAUCAUUUGGCAACUUGCCAUUCAUGCCACCAACCAGGUGAUGAAAUGUACAACUCGUACUCUUCUCCAUGCCACCAACCAGGUGAUGAAAUGUACAACCCGUACUCUAAUAUCAUUUGGCAACUUGCCACUUAUGCCACCAACCAGGUGAAGAAGGAACUCAUCUUCAUGCCACCAACCAGGUGAUGAAAUGUACAACCUGUACUCUCCUUCAUGCCACCAACCAGGUGAUGAAAUGUACAACACGUACUCUAAUAUCAUUUGACAACUUGCCAUUCAUGCCACCAACUAGGGGAAGAAAGAACUCACCUUCUUACCACCAACUAAGUGAUGAAAGAAACUCACCAUUCAUUCCACUUACCAGAAGACGAGUGGUAGAACUUGUACAUGUGAACUCCUACCAUUCACAAAUAAUAAAAAACCCUCAAGUUUGACAACUCAACUAGGAGAGCACUUAUGCCCAACAAGAGUUAUAGUCACCAACAAAGUCUUAUUGCAAGCCAACAACAACUUCAGUGCAUGACAUACGAAGAUCAAGCUAUUCAGCCCUCUUGCAUCUGCUUCAAACAUUUCCCCUCUGUAACAAUGCAAACACUACAACUCGUAGAAAGCUUCACACACUCUUGAUCAAGACAGUGUGAAGCAAAAUCAAUUUAUGGUGCCAACAAAAUAUUCAUCAAAGGAGUUCAACCACAAUUCUCAAAAGCUUCACACAUUCUUGAUCAAGACAGUAUGAAGCAAAACCAAUUUAUGGUGCCAACAAGAGCUUCAUCAAUGGAGGGCAACCACAAUUCUCAAAAGCUUCACACUCUUGAUCAAGACAGUGUGAAGCAAAACCAAUUUCUGGUGCCAACAAAAGCUUCAUCAAAUGAGUUCAACCACAAUUUUCAAAAACUUCACACACCAUUGAUCAAGACAGUGUGAAGCAAAACCAAUUUAUGGUUUCAACAAAAGCUUCAUCAAUGGAGGGCAACUACAAUUCUCAAACCUUCAAAGCAAAUUUAAUUUAUAUGGUUCAUCCAAAACUUCGACUACUACAAGGUGUGGCUUGCAUCACAAUCUCUUACUCAACAUGUGGAAGCAAAAUUUGUAUAUUGUCUCUCCCACAUUUUUAAAUUUCUAGUUUCCAAAAAAAAAAAAAAAAAAAAGGAAAAUUCAACAAAGCUUCAUCAAUGGAGGACAACUACAAAUUCUCAAAAGCUUCACACUAUCUUGAUCAAGAUAGUGUGAAGCAAAAUCAAUUCAUGGUACCAAAAAAAAAAGCUUCAACUCCAAAGCUUCCCCUACAAAGCUUCAACUCCAAAGCUUCCCCUACAAAGCUUCAACACAAAAGCUUCACCAACAAAAGCUUCAUUAAUGGAGGACAACUACAAAUUCUCAAAAACUUCACACUAUCCUGAUCAAGAUAGUGUGAAGCAAAAUCAAUUCAUGGCACCCAACAAAAGCUUCAACUCCAAAGCUUCACCUACAAAAGCUUCAACACAAAAGCUUGACCCACAAAAGCUUCACCUACAAAAGCUUGAUCCACAAAAGAAGCUUGACCCACAAAAGCUUCACCUACAAAACUUCAACACAAAAGCUUCACCUACAAAAGCUUCACACUAUCUUUGUUAAGAUAGUGUGAAGCAAAAUCAAUUCAUGAUGCCCAACAAAGCUUGACCCACAAAAGCUUGACCCACAAAAGCUUCGCCCACAAAAGCUUGACCCACAAAAGUUUCACCUACAAAACUUUAACACAAAAGCUUCACAUUAUCUUGAUCAAGAUAGUAUGAAGCUAAAUGAAUUCAUGGUGCCCAACAAAGCUUCACCCUCAAAGCUUCACCUACAAAGCUUCAACACUAAAGCUUCACAUACAAAGCUUUAAUAUAUAUAUAUAUAUAUAUAAUUUUUUUUUCGGAAAUUCAAAAAUUCAAAAAUUCAAAAAUUCAAAAAUUCAAAAAUUCAAAAAUUCGAAAAAAAAAAAAUUGCCUAGGCCUCAUCUUCUGUGGGCCUAAUAACUUUCAUAACAAAUAUAUAUGAAGAAGGAGUUUUGGACUACCACUUAGAAAGGAAAUGCCUCAUUCGUUAACUCCAUCGACCAGAGACUUGGGGGACUCCUACCAUAUGCUAUUGCACUUUGAUACUCGGAAGUCUCACAACUACUCAAUGACUUAGAUUUUUCAAGUCUCCAAACGAGAAAUUUUCCUCACUCGGGAAAUUAAAGUAGUACUACCUCAACCUACAUGUUUCACUCACAAAGCUUUAACAUACAAGUUUCAACAAAAGGAAAAAUUCAAAGAACUUAGUGAAGAAGGCCUUGGUGUAUUUAACAUAAUACGUUGAAAUGAAGCAAAGUUUGUUUAUUGAUAUCUCCGAUAAGUUACAAAUAUGUACAUAUACAUGAAUCAAAAUAAACAAACAAGAGGGAGCAUUCACAAAGGUUGCUCAGGAGAAGUCUCAGCAGUCGGCAGAGCCCCAGAAAGAGGAGGCACCAGAGGGUGAUUAU